GGUUCUGGCUGCUGAGCGCGGCAAUGGCAACGGCGGGCUGGUGGGGGUUGGGGUUGAACUGAAAGUGAAUGAGCCCCACGGGGAAGACAAACACAUCACCUUUGUUGAGCACCUUGGAGAGGAACUUGUUUCUGUUGGGGGCGGGCAGGUUGGACGUGACAAAUCCGACAUACAGUGUCCCCUCGAGUACCGUGAGGAUCUCAGUGGCACGAGGGUGCGUGUGUGGUGGGUUCUGACCCAAAGGAGCAUAGUCGAUGCGUGCAAUUGAGAUGCCGAGGGUGUUGAGUCCAGCAAUCUGCAUGACGUUGAUCAAGGUAACGUUGGACCCAACCUUGUUGGUCACCCUAGGCUUGUCGAGGGCGGCUGCCUUGNNNNNNNNNNNNNNNNNNNNNNNNNNNNNNNNNNNNNNNNNNNNNNNNNNNNNNNNNNNNNNNNNNNNNNNNNNNNNNNNNNNNNNNNNNNNNNNNNNNNCGGGCCCGCUGCUGGCGGGUGUAGUCCCAGAUGGCGAUGGCGGCGCUGACACGGACGUUGAGCGACCGGACGACGCCCAGCUGCGGGAUCUCGACGCACACGUCCACCGCCUCCUGGAUGAUGUCCACCGGGAUGCCCUCCUAACUGCCCAGCACCACCAUCGUCUUCUCCGGGAACGAGAACUCGUCCAGGGCUGGGCAGUUUCAAGCCAACACGACAAGAUAGCUCGAGUUCAAGUGCUUACAUUCAGAAAGUUAUCUACUCGCUCCAAAACCGACACUGGAACACAUUCAAAGCUAGACGACUGCAUAAAAACAAGGCAUAUUCUUUAUUUUUUGCGAGAAAAAUAAGGCAUAUUCAGAAUUACAACAGAAAGGCCGAAAGGUUCAGUGCCCCAUAAAAAACAUAACUACCGCCCUAGAGUCGUCCGUCUUAUUCAUUUCUUCACAAAAUAAACAGUGUCCUCAAAUUUCUAGGAGACAGAGAAUACAACGAAUCUCAGUGCAAGUUGUAAAUAUUCCCGUUGGAGUCCCAGAUGUAUUGGGAUAAAAAACAUCAAGAAAACCUUCAAUUGAAACUCUGAGCCUGUAAUCAAAACAUAUACGGAGGAUACAAACACUCAAGAUGGAAAUAUUUAUAAUUAACACCNNNNNNNNNNNNNNNNNNNNNNNNNNNNNNNNNNNNNNNNNNNNNNNNNNNNNNNNNNNNNNNNNNNNNNNNNNNNNNNNNNNNNNNNNNNNNNNNNNNNCCUAGAAAUUUGAGGACACUGUUAUUUUGUGAAGAAAUGAAUAAGACGGACGACUCUAGGGCGGUAGUUAUGUUUUUUAUGGGGCACUGAACCUUUCGGCCUUUCUGUUGUAAUUCUGAAUAUGCCUUAUUUUUCUCGCAAAAAAUAAAGAAUAUGCCUUGUUUUUAUGCAGUCGUCUAGCUUUGAAUGUGUUCCAGUGUCGGUUUUGGAGCGAGUAAAUAACUUUCUGAAUGUAAGCACUUGAACUUGAGCUAUCUUGUCGUGUUGGCUUGAAACUGCCCAGCCCUGGACGAGUUCUCGUUCCCGGAGAAGACGAUGGUGGUGCUGGGCAGUUAGGAGGGCAUCCCGGUGGACAUCAUCCAGGAGGCGGUGGACGUGUGCGUYGAGAUCCUGCAGCUGGGCGUCGUCCGGUCGCUCAACGUCCAUGUCAACGCCGCCAUCGCAAUCUGGGACUACACCCGCCAACAGCGGGCCCGCUCCUCCUCCUCCUCGGGGGUUGUAGCCUUUCCCGUUCUUCCUUGUUGGAGUUAGNNNNNNNNNNNNNNNNNNNNNNNNNNNNNNNNNNNNNNNNNNNNNNNNNNNNNNNNNNNNNNNNNNNNNNNNNNNNNNNNNNNNNNNNNNNNNNNNNNNNAAGCUUUAUGCUCUAGCUCAAGAGGUAAAUGACAUGCUUUACCGUAUACCAUUUUGUACGGAGACAUGCCCAUGGGAUUCUUAUAGGCAGUUCUAUAAGCCCACAGUGCAUCAUCGAGCUUCUUAGACCAAUUCUUUCUAGACCUGUUGACAGUCUUUUGUAGAAUUAGUUUAAUCUAUCUAUUGCUUAGCUCUACUUGACCACUGGACUGAUGGUGAUAGGGAGACGCAAUUCUAUGGUUGACAUCGUACUUAGCGAGCGUUUUACGGAAAGCACCAUGAAUGAAGUGUGAACCAACGUCGAUCAUUAGAUAUCUAGGGACUCCAAAUCUAGGGAAGAUAACUUUUUUCAGCAUCUUGAUAGAGGUGUUGUGAUCAGCACUACUAGUGGGGAUAGCUUCUACCCACUUAGUGACAUAAUCAACAACAACUAAGAUGUGAGUAUACCCAUUGGAUUUUGGAAAAGGUCCCAUAUAAUCAAAGCCCCAGACAUCAAAUGGUUCAAUGACCAGUGAAUAGUUCAUGGGCAUUUCCUCACGUUUGCUAAUAUUACCUAUUCUUUGACAUUCGUCACAAGACAAGACAAACUUACGGGCAUCCUUGAAGAGAGUGGGUCAAUAGAAACCUGAUUACAAUACCUUGUGUGCAGUUCUAUCUCCCGCAUGGUGUCCUCCGUAGGCCUCGGAGUGACACUUCUGUAGGAUUUGUCCCUGUUCAUGUUCAGGUACACAAUGUCUAAUAACACCAUCUACUCCUUCCUUAUAAAGGUGAGGAUCAUCCCAAAAGUAAUGUCUCAAGUCAAAGAAGAAUUUCUUCUUUUGCUAGUACGUGAAACUAGGUGGUAUGUAUUUGGCAACGAUAUAGUUUGCAUAAUCAGCAUACCACGGUGCACUACGUGAAGCAUUGAUGACAUUCAAUUGCUCAACCGGAAAGCUAUCAUCAAUAGGUUGUGGGUCAUCAACAACGUUCUCCAACCUAGACAAGUUAUCUGCUACUGGAUUAUCAGCACCCUUUCUGUCAACAGCGUGCAAAUCAAAUUCUUGUAGCAAGAGAACCCAUCUGAUAAGUCUCGGUUUAGUGUCCUUCUUCUCCAUGAGGUACUUAAUAGCAGCAUGAUCAGUGUGAAUAGUGACUUCGGAAUCAACUAUGUAAGACCUGAACUUUUCACAUGCAAACACGACUACUAAAAAUUCCUUCUCCAUAGUAGCAUAGUUUCUCUGGGCACUGUCUAGAGUUUUACUAGCAUAGUGAAUAACAUUCAACUUCUUAUCAACUCUUUGCCCUAGGACAGCACCAACAGCAUAAUCACUAGCAUCACACAUGAUCUCAAAAGGUAAGUUCCAAUCAGGUGAUUGAACAAUAGGUGCAGUUAUCAAAGCCCUCUUAAGUAUUUCGAAGGCUUCCUCACAAUCAUCGUCAAAAACAAAAGGAAUAUCCUUUUGCAAGAGAUUGGUAAGAGGCCUAGAAAUCUAAGAGAAGUCUUUAAUGAACCUUCUAUAGAAACCAGCAUGACCAAGGAAACUUCUUAUACCUUUGAUAUCUGUGGGGUAUGGCAUUUUCUCGAUUGCAUCAACCUUAGCCUUAUCGACUUCAAUACCUCUUUCAGAAAUUUUAUGUCCUAAGACGAUGCCUUCUUUAACCAUAAAGUGGCACUUCUCCCAAUUCAAGACAAGAUUGGUGUCUCUACAUCUCUGUAAGACUCGGUCAAGGUUGCUGAGGCAAUCAUCAAAAGAAGACCCGUAAACGGAAAAGUCAUCCAUGAAAACCUCAACAAUCUUUUCACAAAAGUCAGAGGAUAUAGCCAUGAUAGAUCUUUGAAAGGUGGCAGGUGCAUUACAUAAGCCAAAAGGCAUACGUCUAUAAGCAAAGGUACCGAAAGGGAAGGUGAAAGUGGUUUUCUCCUGAUCAGAUUGUGCAACUGGUAUUUGGGAGAAACCAGAAUAACCGUCUAGAAAGCAGAAGUGUUGGUGAACUCCAUGAUCAUCAUGUGGUUGGCGUUGAGUCCGUGUUCCACCAUCCCUUGGCACUUAAAGACUUGCUGCUCCAUUGCUUCACGCCUUGCCUCCACGCUUCCGGUCUUCUUGGUCCCCUCAACAUCAUGGAUGUGCAGCACCCCCUCACGCAUCUCGACAGAUUGAGGGUGUUGCAGCACUCCCGCGAGGUAGGGAUUGAUGACCUUCUCGAAGAACUUGUCCUUCGGAGCUUUUGGGGACGCCAUAGCGAUCUAGAUCUGUCUGCACAACAGCUCGAAAUGAAAACAGAGGAAAUUUACGUGAUACGAGGGUCAGACCUUUCGGGAGAAUAUAUAAUGUUUUUUUCCGACCAGAAGGAGUACUCCGCAAGAAAACGGAGUCUGGGAGGCACACGAGGUGGUCACAAGUACCAAUCGGAGUCGCGAGACGGAGAUUGGUUACAAGAGAUGAACUAGGGUUUGGAGAUGAGAUGAUGUUGAUGAAGAUGUUGAUGGUGAUGAGUCCCCUCCGAUGAGAGGAGUGUUGGUGAUGACGUUGGCGACGAUUUCCCCCUCCGGGAGGGAAGUUUUCCCGCGAGGACGACCCUGCCGGAGCUCUAGAUUGGUUCUACUCGAGAUCCACCUCGUGUCGGCGGCGAUUCAUCCCGAAAACCUCCUCUUGAUUUUUUAUGGAACGAAACCCUCCUUAUAGCAAAAGAGAGGAGCCAGAGGGUUGAUGACCCACAAGUAUAGGGGAUCAAUCAUAGUCCUUUCGAUAAGUAAGAGUGUCGAACCCAACGAGGAGAAGAAGGCUCUGAUAAACGGUUUUCAGCAAGGUAAUAACUGCAAGCACUGAAAGUAGCGGUAACAAGUAAUGGUGUAGUGAGGUGAAACGUAGCAAGCGAAAAGUAACAAGUAACAAGUAGUAGCAAGGUGCAAAAAAGUGACCCAAUCCCUUUUGUAGCAAGGUACAAGCCUGAGCAAAGUCUUAUAAGAGGAAAAACGCUCCCGAGGACACACGGGAAUUUCUGUCAUGCUAGUUUCAUCAUGUUCAUAUGAUUCGCGUUCGUUACUUUGAUAGUUUGAUAUGUGGGUGGACCGGCGCUUGGGUACUGCCCUUACUUGGACAAGCAUCCCACUUAUGAUUAACCCCUCUCGCAAGCAUCCGCAACUAUGAAAGAAGAAUUAAGACAAUGUCUAACCAUAGCAUUAAACUAGUGGAUCCAAAUCAGCCCCUUACAAAGCAACACAUAGACUGGGGUUUAAGCUUCUGUCACUCUAGCAACCCAUCAUCUACUUACUACUCCCCAAUGCCUUCCUCUAGGCCCAAGUAUGGUGAAGUGUUAUGUAGUCGGCGUUCACAUAACACCACUAGAGGAAAAACAACAUACAGCGUAUCAAAAUACCGAACGAAUACCAAAUUCACAUGACUAUUAUUAGCAUGACUUAUCCCAUGCCCUCAGGAACAAAAGUAACUACUCACAAAGCAUAAUCGUAAUCAUGAUCAGAGGUGUAAUGAAUAGCAUCAAGGAUCUGAACAUAAACUCUUCCACCAAGUAAUCCAACUAGCAUCAACUACAAAGAGUAAUCAACACUAUAGCAACCUUACAAGUACCAAUCGGAGUCGCGAGACGGAGAUUGGUUACAAGAGAUGAACUAGGGUUUGGAGAGGAGAUGGUACUGAUGAAGAUGUUGAUUGAGAUGCCUCCCCUCCGAUGAGAGAAGUGUUGGUGAUGACGAUGGCGGCGAUUUCCCCCUCCGGGAGGGAAGUUUCCCCGGCAGGAUCGUCCUGCCGGAGCUCUAGAUUGGAUCUGCUCAAGUUCCGCCUCAUGGCGGCGGAGAGUCCAUAAAAAAGCUCCACCCUGAUUUUUUUCUCGGACGAAACCCUUCAUAUAGCAAAAGAGGGGGGGGCAGUGGGCCACCAGGGUGCCCACUAGCCCUGUUGUCGCGGCCAGGGGGUAGGUCGCGGCAAUCGGGGUUCUCAUCAAAACUCGCAGUUUUGGCCCAUUUUAGCCAAUUUUCUAUGCUAUUACUCAAUCAUUUUGGGUCCCGCUGCAAUCCGAACAUUCGGGAACCCCGUGGUCCGGGUAUGGGGCACUCGUCUAAGCUCACAGAUUUGGUCUAUUAUGGCCAGUUUUAUAUUUUAUUACUAACUAAUGAUAGGUACCGUUGCGAUCCGAAUGUUUGGGGGACCGCGAGGUCCAUUUAGGGGAACUCGUCAAAAGUGACAUAUUUGGCCUAUCCUGGCUAGUUUCUAUAAUAUUACUCACUGAUUUUGGGUCCUUCUAUGAUCCAAACGUUCAGGGAACCCCGGUGUCCGGUUCCGGGGAACUCGUCAAAACUUGCACUUUUGGCCUCUUCUCGCUAGUUUUAUAUGGUAUUGCUCACUUGUGUUAGGUCCCGCUGUGAUCCAAACGUUCAGGGAACCCCGGGGUUCGGUUACGGGGAACUCGUCAAAACUUGCGGUUUUGGGCCAAUCUGGACUAUUUUCUAUGCUAUUACUCAAUCAUUUUGGGUCCGGCUGCAAUCCGAACGUUCGGGGAACCCCGCGCUCCGGGUACAGGCAGAACUCACACAUUUGGCCUAUUUUGGCCAGUUUUGUAUGCUAUUACUCGCUUAUGUUGGGUCCCGCUGCGAUCCGAACGUUCGGGGAACCACGGGGUCCGUUUACGGGGAACUCGUGAAAACUCGCAGAUUUGGCCUAUUCUGGCCAGUUUUGUACAAUAUUACUCACUUAUUUUGGGUCCCGGGUCGACAUGAACAUUCGGGGAACCCCGGGACCCGGUUACAGAGAACUCGUAAAAUCUCACAGAUUUGGCAUAUUCUGUCCAGUUUUGUAAGCUAUUACUCACUGAUUUUGGGUCUCGCUGCGAUCCAAACAUUCGGGGAACAAAGGGGUCCGGUUACGGGGAACUCGUCAAAACCCGAAGUGUUGGCCUAUUAUGGCCAGUUUUCUAUGCUAUUACUCAAUGAUUUUGGGUCCCGCUGCGAUCCGAACGUUCGUGGAAGCCCGGGGUCCGGCUACGAGGUACUCGUCAAAACUGGUAGUUUUGGCCUAUUCUCGCCAACUUUCAAUGCUAUUACUCAAUUAUUUUGGGUCCUACUGCACUCAAUACGUUCGACGAACCCCUCGGUCCGGUUAUGGUGAGUCGUCGAAGCUCGCAGUUUUGGCCUAUUGUGGCCAGUUUUGUAAGCUAUUUCUGAUUGAUUUUGGGUCCCACUGAGAUCCGAACAUUCGGGAAGCUCGGGGUCGAACUACGGGGUACUCGUCAAAACUCGCAGUUUUGGUCUAUUCAAGCAAAUUUUAUAUGUUAUUACUCAAUCAUUUUGGGUCCAUAUGCAAUUCGAACGUUCGGGGAACCCCGCGGUCCCGGUUAUGGGGAACUCGUCAAAACUCACAGAUUUGGCCUAUUCUGGCCAGUUUUGUAUGUUAUUAAUCACUGAUUUUGGGUACCGCUGCGAUCCAAUGUUUGGGGAACCCUGCGGUCCGGCUAUGUGGUACUCGUCAAAACUUGUAGUUUUGACCUAUUUUGGCUAGUUUUCUAUGCUAUUACUCACUGAUUUUGGAUCCGACUGCGAUCCAAACGUUCGGGGAAGCCCGGAGUCCAGCUACGGGGUAUUCGUCAAAACUCGCAGUUUUGGCCCAUUCUCGCCAAUUUUCUAUGCUAUUACUCAAUCAUUUUGGGUCUUGCUACACUCCGAACAUUUGGGGAACCUGGUGGUCCACUUAUGUGGAACUCAUCAGAGCUCGCAGUUUUGGCCUAUUCUAGCCAGUUUUGUAAGCUAUUACUCACUAGUUCUAGGUCCCGCUGCGAUCCAAACGUUUGGGGAACCACGGGGUCCGGUUACGGGGAACAUGUCAAAACUCGAAGUGUUGGCCUAUUCUGGCCAGUUUUUUAUGAUAUUACUCACUGAUUUUGGGUCCCGCUGAGAUCCGAACGUUCGGGGAAGCUCGGGGUCCGACUACGGGGUACUCGUCAAAACUCGCAGUUUUGGCCUAUUAUGGCAAAUCUUAUAUGCUAUUACUCAAUCAUUUUGGGUCCCUAAGCAAUCCGAACGUUCGGGGAAGCCCGGGGUUAAGCUACGGGGUACUCCUCAAAAUUCACAGUUUUGGCCCAUUCUGGCCAAUUUUCUAUGCUAUUACUCAAUCAUUUUGGUUCCCACUGAAAUCCGAACAUUCGGGGAACCCCGUGGUCCGGUUAUAGGGAACUUGUUGGAAAUAUGCCCUAGAGGCAAUAAUAAAAUGGUUAUUAUAAUAUUUCCUUAUUCAUGAUAAUCGUCUAUUGUUCAUGUUGUAAUUGUUAUAACAGGAAAUAGUAAUACAUGUGUGAACAAAUAGAUCACAAUGUGUCCCUAGCAAGUCUCUAGUUGGCUAGCUCGUUGAUCCAUAGAUGAUCAUGGUUUCCUGAUCAUGGGCAUUAGAUGUCAUUGAUAAUGGGAUCACAUCAUUGGGAGAAUGAUGUGAUGGACAAGACCCAAUCCUUAGCAUAGUACUAGAUCGUAUUGUUCGUAUGCUAAAGCUUUUCUAAUGUCAAGUGUCUUUUCCUUCGACCGUGAGAUUGUGCAACUCCCGGAUACCGUAGGAGUGAUUUGGGUGUAUCAAAUGUCACAACGUAACUGGGUGACUAUAAAGGUGCACUACGGGUACCUCUGAAAGUGUUUGCUGGGUUAGCAUGAAUCAAGAUCGGGAUUUGUCACUCCGUGUGACGGAGAGGUACCUCUGGGCCCACUCGGUAGAACAUCAUCAUGAGCUCAAUGUGACUAAGGAGUUAAUCACAGGAUUAUGUGCUACGAAACGAGUAAAGAUACUUUCCAGUAACGAGAUUGAACAAGGUAUAAGUAUACCGACGAUCGAAUCUCGGGCAAGUUCUAUACCGACAAACAAAGGGAAUUGCAUACGGGAUUGAUUGAAUCCUUGACAUCGUGGUUCAUCCGAUGAGAUCAUCGUGGAACGUGUGGGAGCCACCAUGGGUAUCCAGAUCCCGCUGAUGGUUAUUGGCCGGAGAGCGUCUCGGUCAUGUCUGCAUGUUUCCCGAACCCGCAGGGUCUACACACUUAAGGUUCGAUGACGCUAGGGUUAUAGGGAAAUGUUAUACGAGGUUACUGAAAGUUGAUCAGAGUUCUGGAUGAGAUCCCGGACGUCACGGCGAGCUCCAGAAUGGUCCGGAGGUAAAGAUUGAUAUAUAGGAUGGAUGGUUUUGGAGAUCGGAAAUGUUUCUGACGUCACCGGUAGCGUACCGGGACCACCUGGACCACCGGAAAUGGUCCCGGGGGUCCACCGGGAGGGGACACCAGGCCCAAGAGGUAGCAUGGGCCAAGAGGGGGAGGGAAACCAGCCCAAAGUGGGCUGGUGCGACUCCCACAAGAGGCCCAAGGUGCAGGAGGUGGAGAGGGGGGGGGAAACCCUAGGCGCUGGUGGGCCUAAGGCCCACCUAGGGGUGCGCCACCCCUCCCCCUGCCCUAGCCGCCGCACCUCCCAUCUGGGAGGGCUGCCGCACCACCUAGGGGGAAACCCUAGGAGUGGCAACCCCCCUCCCCUCCUCCUAUAUAUAGGGAGGGGUUUGGGGUUGUUUUACACACCGUUUCUUCUCCCCUCGGCGCAUCCCUGCUCCCCUCCUUCCUCCUCCUCCCACGGUGCUUGGCGAAGCCCUGCCGGGAGCCCUCGUCUCUCCAUCGACACCAUGCCGUCGUGCUGCCGGAGAUCUUCCCCAACCUCUCCCUCCUCCUUGCUGGAUCAAGGUGUAGGAGACAUCACCGGGCUGCACGUGUGUUGAACGCGGAGGUGCCGUGGUUCGGCACUAGAUCGGAAUCACACCGCGAUCUGAAUCGCCGUGAGUACGACUCCAUCAACUGCGCUCUAGCAACGCAUCCGCUUAGCAAUCUUCAAAGGUAUGAAGAUGCACUCACCCCUCUCUCGUUGCUGGUCUCUCCAUAGGAAGAUCUGAAUAUGCGUAGGAAUUUUUUUGAAUUUAUGCUACGUUACCCAACAGAACUCGUCAAAGCUCACAUAUUUGGCCUAUUCUGGCCAGUUUUGUAAGCUAUUGCUCACUGAUUUUGGGUCCUGCUGCGAUCCAAACGUUCGGGGAACCCUGGGUCCGGUUAUGUAGAACUCGUCAAAACUCGCAGUUUUUACCUUUUCUAGCUAGUUGUCUAUGCUAGUACUCACUAAUUUUGGAUCCCACUGCGAUCCGAACGUUCGGGGAAGCCCGGCGUCCGGCUACGGGGUACUCGUCAAAACUCGCAGUUUUGGCCUAUUCUCGCCAAUUUCCUAUUCUAUUACUCAAUCAUUUUGGGUCCUGCUGCACUCCGAACAUUCGGGGAACCCGCGGUCCAUUUAUGUGGAACUCGUCAAAGCUCACAGAUUUGGCCUAUUCUGUCCUGUUUUGUAAGCUAUUACUCAGUCAUUUUGGGUCCCGCUACGAUCUAAAAGUUUGGGGAACCACGGGGUCCGGUUACGGGGAAACUCAUCAAAACUUGAAGUGUUGCCCUAUUCUGGCAAGUUUUCUAUGCUAUUACUCACUUAUUUUGGGUCCUGCUGCAAUCUAAACGUUCGUGGAAGCCCGGGGUCCGGCUAUGGGGUACUCAUCAAAACUCAUAGUUUUGGCCUAUUCUCGCCAAUUUUCAAUGCUAUUACUCAAUCAUUUUGGGUCUUUAUGCACUCACAAUGUUCGGGGAACCCCACAGUCCGGUUAUGGGGAACUUGCCAAAGCUCGCAGUUUUGGCCUAUUCUGGCCAGUUUUGUAAGCUAUUUUUCACUGAUUUUGGGUCCUGUUGCGAUCCAAAUGUUCGGGGAACCCCGGGGCCCAGUAACGGGGAACACGUCAAAAUUCACUGAUUUGGCUUAUUCUGGCAAGUUUUCUAUACUAUUACUAACUCAUUUUGGGUCUUGUUGUAAUCCAAACGUUCGGGGAACCCCGAGGUCUGAUUAUUGGGAACAAGUAGAAAGGCGUAGUUUUCUUCCUAUCCUGGCCAGUUUUCUAUGCAUUUACUCACUGAUUUUGGGUCCCGUUGCGAUCCGAACGUUCGGGGAAGCCUGGGGUCAGGCUAUGGGGUAGUCCUCAAAAUUUGAAGUCUUGGCACAUUCUGGCCAAUUUUCUAUGCUAUUACUCAAUCAUUUUGGUUCCCACUCAAAUCCGAAUGUUCGGGGAACCCCGCGGUCCGGUUAUGGGGAACUCGUGAAAGCUCACAGAUUUGGCCUAUUCUAGCCAGUUUUGUAAGCUAUUACUCACUAAUUUUGGGUCCCGUUGCAAUCCAAACGUUCGGGGAACCCCGGGUUCCGGUUAUGUGGAACUCGUCAAAACUCGCAGUUUUUACCUAUUCUGGCUAGUUUUCUAUGCUAUUACUCACUGAUUUUGGAUCCCACUGCGAUCCGAACGUUCGAGGAAGCCCUGGGUCCGUCUACGGGGUACUCGUCAAAACUCGCAGUUUUGGCCUAUUCUCGCCAAUUUUCUAUGCUAUUACUCAAUCAUUUUGGGUCCUGAUGCACUAAGAACAUUUGGGGAACCCCGCGGUCUAGUUAUGCAGGAACUCGUCAAAGCUCACAGAUUUGGCCUAUUUUGUCCAGUUUUGUAAGCUAUUACUAACUGAUUUUGGGUCCCGCCACGAUCCAAACGUUCAGGGAGCCACGGGGUACAGUUACGGGGAAAUCGUCAAAACUCGAAGUGUUGGCCUAUUCUGGCCAAUUUUCUAUGCUAUUACUCACUGAUUUUGGGUCCCGUCGCGAUCCGAACGUUCGUGGAAGCCCGGGGUCCGGCUACAGGGUACUCGUCAAAACUCGUAGUUUUGGCCUAUUCUCGCCAAUUUUCAAUGCUAUUACUCAAUCAUUUUGGAUCCUGCUGCACUCCGAACGUUCGUGGAACCCCACGGACCGGUUAUGGGGAACUCGUCAAAGCUCGCAGUUUUGGCCUAUUCUGGCCAGUUUUGUAAGCUGUUUCUCACUGAUUUUGGGUCCCGCUGAGAUCCCAAUGUUCAGGGAACCCCGAGGUCCGAUUACGGGAACACGUCAAAACUCGCAGUUUUGGUAUAUUCUGGCCAGUUUUCUAUGCAAUACUCACUGAUUUUGGGUCCCGCUGAGAUCCGAACGUUCGGGGAAGCUCGGGGUCCGACAACGGGGUACACAUCAAAACUCGCAGUUUUGGCCUAUUCUGGCAAAUUUUAUAUGCUAUUACUCGAUCAAUUUGGGUCCCUAUGCAAUCCGAACGUUCGGGAACCCCGUGGUCCCGAUUAUGGGGAACUCGUCAAAACUCACAGAUUUGGCCUAUUCUGGCCAGUUUUGUAUGCUAUUACUCACUGAUUUUGGGUCCCGCUGCGAUCCAAACGUUCGGGGAACCCUGCGGUCCGGUUAUGUGGAAAUCGUCUGAACUCGCAGUUUUGACCUAUUCUGGCUAGUUUUCUAUGCUAUUACUCACUGAUUUCGGAUCCCACUGCGAUCCGAACGUUGGGGAAGCCCGGGGUCCGGCUUCGGGGUACUCGUCAAAACUCGUAGAUUUGACCUAUUCUCGCCAAUUUUCUAUGCUAUUACUCAAUCAUUUUGGGUCCUGCUGCAUUCCGAACAUUCGGGGAACCCGCGGUCCAKUUAUGUGGAACUCGUCAAAGCUCACAGAUUUGGCCUAUUCUGUCCAGUUUUGUAAGCUAUUACUCACUGAUUUUGGGUCACGCCGCGAUCCAAACAUUCGGGGAACCAUGGGGUCUGGUUACGGGGAACUCAUCAAAACUCGAAGUGUUGGCCUAUUCUGUCUAGUGUUCUAUGCUAUUACUCACUAAUUUUGGGUCCCGCUGUGAUCCGAACGUUCGUGGAAGCCCGGGGGUCCGGCUAUGGGGUACUCGUCAAAACUUGUAGUGUUGGCCUAUUCUCGCCAACUUUCAAUGCUAUUACUCAAUAUUUUUUGGUCCUGCUGCACUCCGAACGUUCGGGGCCCCACGGUCCAGUUAUGGGGAACUCGUCAAUGCUCGCAGUUUUGGUUAUUCUGGUUAGUUUUGUAAGCUAUUUCUCACUGAUUUUGGGUCCCGAUGCGAUCCAAAUGUUCGGGUAACCCCGGGGUCCAGUUACGGGGAACAUGUCAAAACUCACAGUUUUGGCAUAUUCUAGCUAGUUUUUUAUGCUAUUACUCACUGAUUUUGGGUCCCGCUGUGAUCGGAACGUUCGGGGAAGCUCGAGGUCCGACUACGGGGUACUCAUCAAAAACUCGCAGUUUUGGCCUCUUCUGGCAAAUUUUAUAUGCUAUUACUCAAUCAUUUUGGGUCCCUAUGCAAUCCGAACGUUCGGGGAACCCCGGGGUCCMRGYUAUGGGGAACUCGUCAAAACUCACAGAUUUGGCCUAUUCUGGUCAGUUUUGUAUGCUAUUACUCAGUGAUUUCGGGUCCCGCUGCGAUCCAAACGUUCGGGGAACCCUGCGGUCCGGCUAUGGUGGUACUCGUCAAAACUUGUAGUUUUGACCUAUUCUGGCUAGUUUCUAUGCUAUUACUCACUGAUUUCGGAUCCCACUGCGAUCCAAACAUUGGGGAAGCCCGGGUCUGGCUUCGGGGUACUCUUCAAAAGUCGCAGUUUUGACCUAUUCUCGCCAACUUUCUAUGAUAUUACUCAAUGAUUUUGGGUCCUGCUGCAUUCCAAACAUUCGGGGAACCCCGCGGUCCAGUUAUGUGGAACUCGUCAAACCUCACAGAUUUGGCCUAUUCUGUAUAGUUUUUAAGCUAUUACUCACUGGUUUUGGGUCACGCCGCGAUCCAAACAUUCGGGGAACCAUGGGGUCCGGUUACGGGGAACUCGUCAAAACUCGAAGUGUUAGCCUAUUAUGUCCAGUUUUCUAUGCUAUUACUCACUGAUUUUGGGUCCCGCUGCGAUCCGAACGUUCGUGGAAGCCCGGGGUCCAGCUCCGGGGUACUCGUCAAAACUCGUAGUUUAGGCCUAUUCUCGCCAAUUUUCAAUGCUAUUACUCAAUAUUUUUUGGUCCUGCUGCACUCCGAACGUUCGGGAAACCCCACGGUCCAGUUAUGGGGAACUCGUCAAAGCUCGCAGUUUUGGCUAUUCUAGCCAGUUUUGUAAGCUAUUUCUCACUGAUUUUGGGUCCCGCUGUGAUCCAAAUGUUCGGGGAAUCCCGGGGUCCGGUUACGGGGAACACGUCAAAACUCACAGUUUUGGCAUAUUCUAGCCAGUUUUCUAUGGUAUUACUGGCUGAGUUUGGGUCCCGCUGCGAUCCGAAUGUUCGGGGAAGCUUGGUGUCCGACUACGGGGUACUCAUCAAAACUCGUAGUUUUUGCCUAUUUUGGCAAAUUUUAUAUGCUAUUACUCAAUCAUUUUGGGUCCCUCUGCAAUCCGAAUGUACGGGGAACCCCACGGUCCCGGUUACGAGGAACUCGUCAAAACUCACAAAUUUUGGCCUAUUCUGGCCAAUUUUGUAUGCUAUUACUCACUGAUUUUUGGUCCCGCUGUGAUCCAAACGUUCGGGGAACCCUGCACUCCGGUUAUGUGGAACUCGUCAAAACUCGCAAAUUUGACCUAUUCUGGCUAGUUUUCGAUGCUAUUACUCACCGAUUUUUUGAUCGCACUGCGAUCCAAACGUUCGGGGAAGCCCGGGGUCCGGCUACGGGGUACUCGUCAAAACUCGCAGUUUUGGCCUAUUCUCACCAAUUUUCUAUAUUAUUACUCAAUCAUUUUGCGUCCCUCUGCAAUCCGAACGUUCGGGGAGACCCGCGGUCCCGGUUAUGGGAAACUCGUCAAAACUCAUAGAUUUGGCCUAUUCUGGCCAGUUUUGUAUGCUAUUACCCACUCAUUUUGGAUCCCACUGCGAUACGGACGUACGGGGAAGCCCGGGGUCCGGCUAUGGGGUACUCGUCAAAACUCGCAAUUUUGGCCUAUUCUCGCCAAUUUUCUAUGCUAUUACUCAAUCAUUUUGGGUCCUGCUGCACUCCGAACAUUCGGGGAACCCCGUGGUCCAGUUAUGUGGAACUCGUCAAAGCUCACAGAUUUGGCCUAUUAUGUCCAGUUUUGUAAGUUAUUACUCAGUGAUUUUGCAUCCCGCUAUGAUCCAAAUGUUCGGGGAACCACGGGGUCCGGUUACGGGGAACUCGUCAAAACUCGUAGUUUUGACCUAUUCUCGCCAGUUUUCUAUGCUAUUACUCACUGAUUUUGGGUCCCGUUGCGAUCCGAACGUUCAUGGAAGCCCGGGGUCCACCAACGGGGUACUCGUCAAAACUUGCAGUUUUGGCCCAUUUUAGCCAAGUUUCUAUGCUAUUACUCAAUAAUUUUGGGUCCCGCUGCAAUCUGAACUUUCAGGGAACCCCGCGGUCCGGGUAUGGGGCACUCGUCAAAACUCACAGAUUUGGUCUAUUAUGACCAGUUUUAUAUUUUAUUACUCACUUAUGUUAGGUCCCGCUGCGAUCCGAACGUUCGGGAACCCCGAGGUCCAUUUAGGGGAACUCGUCAAAAGUCACAUAUUUGGCCUAUUCUAGCUAGUUUCUAUAAUAUUAGUCAGUGAUUUUGGGUCCUUGUGCGAUCCAAACGUCCGGGGAACCCUAGUGUCCGGUUCCGGGGAACUCGUCAAAACUUGCACUUUUGGCCUAUUCUCGCUAGUUUUAUAUGCUAUUACUCACUUAUGUUAGGUCCCGCAGUGAUCCAAACGUUCGGGGAACCCCUAGGUUCAUUUAGGGGAACUCGUCAAAACUCAUAGAUUUGGCCUAUUAUGGCCAGUUUUAUAUGCUAUUACUCACUUAUCUUUGGUCGCGCUGCGAUCCGAACGUUCGGGGAACCCCGUGGUCGAUUUAGGGAUAACUUGUCAAAAUUCAUAGAUUUGGCCUAUUCUGGCGAGUUUCUAUACUAUUACUCACUGAUUUUGGGUCCCGCUGCGAUCCAAACGUUUGUGGAACCCUGCGGUCUGGUUAUGGGGAACUCGCCAAAACUCGCAGUUAUGAUCUAUUCUGGCUAGUUUUCUAUGCUAUUACUCACUGAUUUUGGGUCCCACUGCGAUCCGAACGUUCGGGGAAGCCCGGGGUCCGGCUAUCGGGUACUCGUCAAAACUCGGAGUUUUGGCCUAUUCUGGCCAAUUUACUAUGCUAUUACUCAAUCAAUUUGGGUCGUGCUGCACUCCGAACAUUCGGGGAACCACGCGGUCCAAUUGUGUGGUACUCGUCAAAGCUCACAGGUUUGGCCUAUUCUGUCCACUUUUGUAAGCUAUUACUCACUGAUUUUGGGUCCCGCUGCGAUCCAAACGUUCGGGGAACCCCGGGGUUCGGUUAUGGGGAACUCGUCAAAACUCACGGUUUUGGUCCAAUCUGGCCAAUUUUCUAUGCUACUACUCAAUUAUUUUGGGUCCGACUGCAAUCCGAACGUCCCGGGAACCCCUUGGUCCGGGUAUGGGAAACCCGUCAAAACUCACAUAUUUGGCCUAUUCUGGCCAGUUUUGUAUGCUAUAACUCACUUAUGUUGGGUCCUGUUGCGAUCCGAACGUUCAGGGAACCACGGGGUCCGGUUAUGGGGAACUCGUGAAAAUCGCAGAUUUAGCCUAGUUUGGCCAGUUUUGUUUAAUAUUACUCACUUAUUUUGGGUCCCGGGCCGACCCGAACAUUCGGGGAACCCCGGGGCCCGGUUAUAGGGAACUCGUCAAAACUCAUAGAUUUGGCCUAUUCUGGCAAGUUUUCUAUACUAUUACUCACUCAUUUUGGGUCAUGUUGUAAUCCAAACGUUCGUGGAACCCCGAGGCCAGUUUUCUAUGCUAUUACUCACUAAUUUUGGGUCCCUCUGCGAUCCGAACGUUCGGGGAAGCCCGGGGUCAGGCUACGGGGUACUCGUCAAAACUCGCAGUUUUGGCCUAUUCUCGAUAGUUUCUAUACUAUUACUCACUAAUUUUGGGUCCUGCUGUGAUCGAAACAUUCGGGGAAUCCUGAGGUCCAUUUAGGGGGAACUCGUCAAAAGUCACAGAUUUGGCCUAUUCUGGCCAGUUUCUACACUCUUACUCGCUGAUUUUGGGUCCCACAACUAUCCAAACGUUCGGGGAACCCCGGUGUCCCGUCAUGGGGAGCUCAUCAAAACUUGCAGUUUGGCCUAUUCUGGCCAAUUUUCAACGCCAUUACUCACUAACUUUGGUCCCGGUGCGAUCCGACAUUUCGGGAAACCCUAGGGUCCGUCUACGAGGUGCUUGUGAAACCUCGCAGUUUUGGCCUCAUCUGGCCAUUUUUCUAUGUUAUUACUCACUGAUUUUGGGUCCCGCUGCGAUCCGAACGUUCAGUGAAGCCCGGGGUCCGGCUACGGGCUACUCGGCAAAACUCGCAGUUUUGGCCUAUUUUGUACAAUUUUCUAUGCUAUUACUCAAUCCUUUUGGGUCGUGCUGCAUUGUGAACGUUCGGGGAACCCCGUGGUCCAGGUAUAGGGAACUCAUCAAAACUCAAAGAUUUGGCCUAUUCUGGCCAGUUUUGUAUGCUAUUACUCACUUAUGUUGUGUCCCGCUAUGAUCCGAACGUUCGGGGAACCCCCGGGUUUGGUUACGGGGAACUCAUGAAAACUCGCAGAUUUGGCCUAUUAUGGCCAGUUUUGUCUAAUAUUAUUCACUUAUUUUGGGUCCCGCUGCGAUCCGAACGUUCGGGGAACCUCGGGGUCCGGUUACGGGGAACUCAUAAAAACUCACAGAUUUUGCCUAUUAUGUCAAGUUUUCUAUACUAUUAUUCACUGAUUUAGGGUCCCGCUGCAAUCCAAACGUUCGGGGAUCCCCGCGGUCCGAUUGUUGGGAACUCGUCAAAACUCACUAAUUUUGGGCCCCGUUGCGAUCCGAACGUUCGGGGAAACCCGGGGUCCGGCUAUGGGGUACUCGUUAAAACUCGUAGUUUUGUCCUAUUGUGGUCAAUUUUCUAUGCCAUUACUCAAUAAUUUUGGGUCGCGCUGCACUCCGAACGUUCGAGGAACCCCGGGGUCCGGUUAUGGGGAACUCGUCAAUGCUCACAAAUUUGGCCUAUUCAGGACAGUUUUGUAAGCUUACUCAUUAAUUUUGGGUCCUGCUGUGAUCCAAACGUUCGGGGAACCCGAGGGCCCGAUUACGGGGAACUCGUCAAAACUCAUAGUUUUGGCCUAUUCUGGCUAGUUUUCUAUGCUAUUACUCACUGAUUUUGGGUCCCGCUGCGAUCCAAACAUUCGGGGAAACCUGGGGUCCGGCUACGGGGUACGCGUCAAAACUCGCAGUUUUGGCCUAUUAUGGCCAAUUUUCUAUGCUAUUACUCAAUAGUUUUGGGUCCCGCUGCAACUCGAACAUUCGGGGAACCCCGCGGUCUCGGUAUGGGGAACUCGUCAAAACUCAUAGAUUUGGCCUAUUCUGGCCAGUUUUGUGUGCAAUUACUCACUUAUGUUUGGUCCCGUUGCGAUCCGAACGUUCGGGGAACCCCAGGGUCUGGUUCUAUUUGAUUAGGCACCUGAAUUGGCACCUGAAUCGGACUGAACUGACUGUUUGUCAGGCUUCUAUUCUCCUAUUCUCUCGAAUCUAUGAAGUAAGACAUUGAUUUUGCAAUAUGAUCGAUUAUGUUCAUUGCAUAAUAAGCUCCUUUGAAAAGCAUUGGCGCACAUGUAAAAGCACGAUUAUGUCGAUAUGCUUCCUGUUUUACCUCCAUGUGAGUUCCUCAACCAUAUUUGUCAAGUAAUUUGCAUUCUAUAUUUAGAAAUAGUUGGUGUUCAUCCAUAUACUAAAUUUGUUAAAUUAUAAUUUACAUCUUAUUUCGUUUCUUCGAGUGAAUUAUGGAAAUUAAUUGACGCGACACACUACACGUGUGGAUCACAUCUAACUUUGGAGGAGAAGGAUGUUCUUCUCUACUUUCUUGUUGGUGUUCUGGUUUCUAGGGAUACCUUCCCGUAUAAUUUUGGAAUUGGCCAAAAUUAUACAUUUUACAUGCCACUAGUGCAUAGGUUGAGGCCAGAUGACAUUCGCCGAAAUAUCUUGGUAAGAGUUUCCUAAUUAAGUACGCUCUACUAUUGCAUAAAUGAUGUUGAUUACAUUGCUAACUAGAUUAUUAUUAUGUUCUUCAACAGCAACUGCCACAUGAUGUAGUGUCUCUGUUGAUGCACCUAGAAGGUCAAAUAAAAAUUAAAAGCCUGCUGAGGGGUGAGUUCGAUGCUCCAUACUCUAGUAACCUCAAAUCAAAAUAAAAAGGCUCCAAAUUGAAGCAUGGAGAGAAAUAAAGAAGGAGCGCAAGCCACGAGUUGGAGACCGUUGGGUCUCUGUGCUUCAUCGUGGAGACAUAAGUGUUAUUCUGUUUUAUGACAUUAUACCUAAGAGCGAGGACUAGGUCUUAUGAGAGAGAAGUUAUUAUGAUUUAUAUUAACUUGACAUGAUCGAUUAGGAUGCAUGCAUAUGAUGACUAUUAUGAUGUUUCUCUGUUUUACUUUAUGUGUAUCAUAUGAUAACUUGGUAUAUGAUUAAGAUGAUGAUGAGUUGUUAGAUGAGUACAUAAGAUGAUGAUGAGUUAUAUGACAUGAUACUCCCUCCGUCCCAAAAUUCUUGUCUUAGCUUUGUCUAGAAAUGGAUGUAUCUAAAGACAAGAAUAUUGGGACGAAGGGAGUACUUUAUCUGUAUGAUGUGAUGCAAAUUAUGCAUGUUUAUUAUGAUAUGAUGAAACCACUGUAUAGAGCGUGCACAAAUACGCAAGGGGGGCAUAAAUACGAUGCGAAUUAAAUAUUAAAAGCAGGAAUAUUAGCAGUAUCGCUGGAGUAUUAGCAGUAGUGCUCUACUUAUUCCAGCGCUACUGCUAACGUAGAUACCAGUAGCGCUUUCAAUCCAGCGCUACUGCUAAGAGUUAGUUGUAGCGUGUUAGCAGUAGCGCUGGCCCCAACGCUACUACUAAGGGUAAAACCAGCGCUACUACUAGGGUUUUCCCUAGUAGUGUAUUCUGGCUAGUUUUUUUAUACUAUUACUCACUUAUUUAUGGACCCCGCUGCGAUCCGAACGUUCGGGGAAACCAAACGUCCGGUUACGGGGAACUCGUCAAAACUCACAGGUUUGGCCUAUUUUGGCCAGUUUUCUAUACUAUUAGUCACUGAUUUUGGGUCUCGUUGGGAUCCAAACGUCCGGGAACCCCCGGGUCUGGUUACGGGGGACUCGUCAAAACUCGCAGUUUUGGCAUAUUCUGGCGAGUUUUCUAUACUACUACGCACUGAUUUUGGGUCCCACUGCAAUCCAAACGUUCGGGGAACCCCGGUGUCCAGUUACGGGGAACUCGUCAAAACUUGCAGUUUUGGCAUAUUCUAGUGAGUUUUCUAUGCUAUUACUCACUAAUUUUGGGUCCCGUUGCGAUCCGAACGUUCGGGGAACCCCGGGAUCCACCUACGGGGUACUCGUCAAAACUGGCAGUUUUGGCCUAUUCUAGCCAAUUUUCUAUGCUAUUACUCAAUCAUUUUGGGUCCUGCUGCAAUCCGAACGUCCGGAGAAACCCGCGGUUCGGUUAUGGGGAUCUCGUCAAAACUCAUAGAUUUGGCCUAUUCUGGCCUGUUUUCUAUACUACUACUCAGUGAUUUCGGGUCCCGCUACGAUCCAAAUGUUUGGAGAACCUCGGGGUCUGGUUACGGGGUACUUGUCAAAACUCAUAGCUUUCGCCUAUUCCGGCCACCUUUUUAUACUAUUACUCACUCAUUUUUUAUCCCAGGGCGACCUGAACAUGCGGGGAACCCCGAGGUCCGGUUACGGGAAACUCGUCAAAUCUCGCAGUUUUAGCCUAUUCUGGCUAGUUUUUAUACUAUUACUCACUGAUUUUUGGUCCCGUUGCGAUCCGAAUGUUCGGGAAUCCCCGGGGUUCGGUUACGAGGAACUCAUGAAAACUCACAUACUUAGCCUAUUGUGGCCAGUUUUUUUAAUACUAUUUUAAGCGCAUGUGUCACUCUUGAUAGUGUUUGAACUGUUGGUAGGGUUUUGGUGAAGAUAUAGUGGAAAAGAACAUGGGCGUGAGUCUCUAACCGCCGGCAGAGUUUUCACCGUUGUUACGCACCGAAUGUCAUAGCAUUCUUUAAAAUAUCUGACAAAAUAUGCACAUUGUCAUAAAAUCUCAUAUCAAAACUGAAAACCUUGCCCGACAUGCAAAGAUAAAAAUCUUGACAUUAAUGUAAUAAUGGCCCAAAUCUAAAGCCCAACUUAUGUCAUGUAUUCCCUCCGUUUCAAAACAGUCUAAGUUUGUGAUUCUCUUAACCCGUAAGUCAAUUUUCAUCAAAUACACCCAAAGUUUCUGGUAGUGUCAACACCUACAAAAUCAAGCUCACCGCAUGCGAUUCAUCAUGAAUAUGUAUUUUCGUAUCACAUGCAUUUGUCAUGUACUCCCUCCGUUCCUAAAUAUAAGUCUUUUAAGCGAUUUCGUUAAGGAUCUACAUACGGAGCAAAAUGAUUGAAUCUAUACUCUAAAAUAUGUCUAUAUACAUCCGUAUGUAGUUCACUAGUGAAAUCUCUACAAAGACUUAUAUUUAGGAACGGAGGGAGUAGAUCUUUGCCGAAUUUUCUAUACGCACUUGGGAAAAUUUGGAACGGAGAAAGUACUAUUUCAUGUUUCGGAAUCCGGUUCUGAAUUUUACAACAACAUACAUUGAUUUUGCGUGGAUGAGUUACCAUUUUUCCAGAAUUUUCCAAACAUUUAAAAACGUGCUAUGGUAGUUUUGAAUGUUGGAUACUGCAGUGGUAGGAGUGAGGGACCGAGGGAGUGGGGGACAGUUCUUUUUUUUCUCUCCUUAAUUUGUUGAGACGAGGUGAAAUCAACGCUUCAGUCGUGAAGACGACGACUGGCCAAAAAUCCCUCCUUUUCUCUCUCCGCCGGCCAGGUCCUCCAAUGCCUCCUCCCCCCACCCUCGCCCUCCCGCUCCCCGCCGCCCUCCGCGGCGGCAGGCCGUCCGACGCCCGCCGCCGGGGCCGCCUCCUCACCCUCGCCCUCUUCCUCCUCCUCGCCGCCCUCGCCCUCGCCGCCUACAUCUCCUCCCCCGGCGCCGCGCGACGGCUCGCCGCCGCGGAGCCCGGUCGCGCACGCUGCGGGGGCAUCCAGGGCCUCGAGCUCUGGGGCCCCGCGGUCAACUGGGGCUCCGACCACCGCCAGCCCUCCGCCGCCGCCUGCUGCGCCUCCUGCAAGGCCCACCGCCGCUGCGACUCCUGGGUCUUCUGCGGGGACCGCCGCCGAUGCGGCAACCGCUUCGGAGAGGUCCGUCCCCUCGCCGACUCCCGCCCCUACACCUCUGUAUGUACAUAUUUCUGCAUCCUCAUCUUAUCAAUCAAGCGCCUGCGAACUGUGGCUGCAGUGCUGGCUGAAGAAGCAGAAUGACGCCAUGGCUCCCGCUGUGAUCGCGAGGGGGGAGGAUGUCAUGUGGACUUCUGGCCUCGUCUUCGGAAAAUCAUCACAGGUCUGUUAACCGCUUGGCAUCAUGGAGCCAGAGAAGCUCGUAGCAUGUCAUGGGAUGUUCCGCUGACGAAUUUUCGGCUCAGCUGGCUGACCAUGUUGUGUAUAAUGCAGACAAAUAUUUGUAAUAAUAUCAUAUAUUCCUUGCUUCAAAAAGAAAGAAGAAUCAAUCAUCACAUGCUGGAGUGCUUAAAAGAGAAACAGGAAUCAGGCCUCACAUGGUGGAAUGUGAUUAAAAAGGAAACUAGAAUCAAGCAUUUUUUGUUUGUUUAGAAACUAUAUCUGCUGAUUCUUCUUAUUAUGAUCUUCCCUGGUAUGAAUCUCAUCGAUAAUCAAAGGUCUCAAACUUAAUGUAGGGAAUCGUGGGGCUGGAAACAAGUGUCGGCACGCUUCGUGUCCAAGUAAGUUGUAUUCUGUCUCUACAGCUGGGUUAAGAAUACUUUCAAGCUGUUAAAGUAUUCUGAGGGACCAUUUCUAGAACACCUUCAGUGUUUGGCCCUUUAGUUUUCCUUUCAUGCCAACCCAAAGAUGUUAGAGUGGUGUUCACACUUAUUUCAUUACUUACAAGCAUAUUUUCAAGCCGCUAAAGCUGCAAGUUCUAAACAGAGGUUACAGCAUGCUGUUUCGGCUUAUCGAGACAAAUGCUUUGCCAUGCAAAUUUCCUAUUUUAAAAUGGGGAAACAAUUGUGGCAGAGCCCCACCAAAUAUUUUUUCUUAAUAUCCUGAGAUCAAUCGCUUCUCUGGCUUGGAUUUAUGCGUUUAACAUGUCCAUGUCCAGUUCCUGAAUAUUCAUUUAUCGGUUGGUUCUUAUUUCUACAAAUAGUUUCCCAGCAAGAAUAUGCCAAGUAAACAUCCAUUCUAAGUGAUUGUUCUGUUGCUAGCCUAGGCUCUUAAGCAGUGUAGCCGAUAAUACAUUUCGUUUUGUCACAGAGCUAACUAUGUCUUGAUGAUUCCCAUAAAUUCGUAUUUAGUCAUAAUAAAAGCUUAUUCCCCUGCAUGAUCCAUUUCAGUGCUUCAUAUUCAUACUGAAAAGGCAGCUUGUACUUUGAGCUGACUGGAAAUAUUCUAGUAUAAUUUUUGUUUUCCACGGGUAUCAUAUACCGCAUUCUUGUUCCUUUCUCUGAUACAUAUACUUCCAUUCCACCCAGUUGCUGCCUGAUUGUGCACCCCAUUCUGUGGAUUACUUCAUCGAGCUGUUGGGCCUGCACAACUACGCCGGAUGCAGAUUCUACCGCGCGGAAGGCCGUGGCCACCUGUGGGAUGCAAAAGGAGAGCACGUAAAAAAUGUAUGGGGUCUAUGGCUGUUUAACCAUCUUGCUUCUUGCAUAAGAGGGAGCCCAAAGUGACAUUUGUGUUUCUGGAAUUGCUUGUAUGUAAGGGCUGUCGGCCUACUGACGAAUGUUUCUUCUGGGUGCAACUAGGCUGCAUUUGGUCCACCCUACGCGCUGCUACAAGGGACACUGGAAGUCGAUGGCGUAGCCUUCCAGGAGAUGCCGAAAGAAGGGUGCUCGGCUGUGAGAAGAGGGUCCGUGGCGUGGAUUGGGUCAGGGCCAGAGUUCCUGAUCAGCCUAGCAGACCACGACGAGUGGAGAGACGCCUACACGGUGUUCGGGUCCGUGAUGCCGGAGGACAUGGCCGUCGCGGAGGAGAUGGCGAUGCUCCCGACCAGCACAGACGUCUGGAGUGGCGUGACCGUCAGGCUGCUGAAGGACCCGGUGUAUUUGAAGGUGAAGAGGAGAAGCAACACGACUGCCUAUUAAGCUGGCCGGCGAUUUUGUUCUUUUUCUUCUUAUUCUUUCUCAUGAUGUAGCAGUAGUGCCGAAAGAUGAGAACACACAUUACAUGUCCAAAGAAAGAAUGAAAGAAAAUAGAGAAGGUUUGGAAGAAAACUGUUACACCUGUGAUUUAUGUGCCUGUCAGCAAGCCAUUUUAUAGAAGAAAAAUUCCUUUUUUUUUGUUGCUUGUUUUGAGUUUUUUUUCUGUUGAUUAUUUUGAGGGAAUUUUGGAAGCUUGCUAUCCGUUUGUCAGAACCAUGAGUUGGUUGCGAGAUCUUAUAAGUUUCACCUCUAGCCUAUUCCAAUUUGUUUUGUUUGGGACUAAAGGCUUUGUUGUUGUUGAUUAUUUUGAGGGAAUUUUCUGUCGAUGAAUGAUGAGGAAUGUUUGCUUUGAAUUUUUUUUUUAGAAAGAAAUCAUGUUGUUUGAUGGGCUGGGUAGGCACCAAAAUUGAGACGGCCCACGGGCCAUGGCGGUACAGGCCUACAUGGAGAAAGGGGAAGUCGCCGUGGAGGUCUGAAGGAGAGGCAGCCAAGAGCAGACGAACGGAACCAGCUCGCCGCCGCCGUUGCCGACGAUGCUUCCGUUCGAGGAGCAGGCCGUGGCGGACCUCCUGGAGGAUCCCAACGGAGGGCUGGUGGUGGUCUCCGCCGGCCUCCCGCUCGCCUCCCUCGCCGCUGCGCUCCUGCUCCACCUCCACCACCAAUCCACAUCCUCCUCACCCUCCCCCUCCUCCUCCGGCGGCAGCGGGGGCGGCGGAUGCUUCCUCAUCCUCUCCGCCCCGGACGCGCUCAAGGACCAAAUCCGGCGCCGCCUGGUCGAAUCCCAGCUCCUGCAGGUCCACGACGUGGCCUCCGACGUCCCCGCCGCCAACCGCCGCGCGCUCUACUCCUCCGGGGAGGGCGCGGCGCUCUUCCUCACCGCGCGCGUGCUCGCCGCCGACCUCCUCACCUCCCACCUCCUCCCCUCCCGCGUCCGGGCCCUGCUCCUCCUCGCCGCCCACCGCUCCUCCGACGUCUCCGCAGACGCCUUCAUCGCCCGCCUCCUGCGCCAGCACCGCCUCCUCCCCGUCUACGCCUUCUCCGACCGCCCCCACGCCAUGGUCGCCGGCUUCGCCAAGGCCGAGCGCACCAUGAAGAGCCUCUACAUCCGCCGCCUCCACCUCUGGCCGCGCUUCCACGUCCUCGCCGCCGCCGACCUCGAGCGCUCCCCGCCGGAGGUCAUCGACGUCCGCGUCCCCAUGACGAACCCCAUGGCGGGCAUCCAGGCUGCCAUCCUCGACGCCAUGGAUGCCUGCCUCAAGGAGCUCCGGCGGACCUACAAGGUCGAUGUCGAGGACCUCACCAUUGACAAGGGCCUCUUCAAGUCCUUCGACGAGAUUGUCAGGAGGCAGCUCGACCCCAUCUGGCACACCCUCGGCAAGAAGACCAAGCAGCUCGUCGCCGACCUCAGGACGCUACGGAAGCUGCUCGAUUACCUUGGCAGGUAGCAAUCCAUACUAUUAAUCCAUGGCAUUCAACAGGGUUAUUGUUCUGUUUGGUGUAGCAACACAAAUUGUGCGCAUCAAUGGACAGUUGGGCAUACUCUUUAUGCUAUUUAGAUGAUGGCUAGGUAUGAUGCCGUGACAUACUUGAAGUAUCUAGACACCCUGAGAGUAUCUGAAGGUGUUCGAUCGGUUUGGAUGUUGGCUGAAUCAAGCCACAAGAUAUUUGAACUUGCAAAAAGGCGUGUUUAUCAGGUUGUGAGACCGGACGGCACAAGGGUUUCAAUUGCCAAGGGCACACCAACGAAGAAGAGGAAGGUGACACCCAGUAGGAGCAAGAAAGGAAAAGAAACUGGUAGCGGCUAUUAGUCCCUUGGUUUCCAUUCAUGUGGCCUGCAUUUUUAUUCUAAAGAAAACAUUUAGUAUAACACAUGGUCUUUUCCUGCAGAAAAUGAGGAUUCUGCUUCUAACAAGGAUGACGCUCAGAAGGUAAAUGCAGAGGCUUCCUUUCUACUGGAGGAGGUUUUGGAGGAAGCACCAAAAUGGAAAGUAUUACGGGUGAGAGGCUCCGUUCUUGUUCCUCAAUUUUCUUCCAAGCAACAGUCAGCAUUAACUAUUUAUUUCACACAUUUCAGAAGAAAAAUCUUUUACCUACUUGACGCUUCUGUUCCAUUUGCACCUACAUUUUAUACUAAAUAUUUUUUUGACUGAAACACCAAAGGUGAGCCCCUAUGGUAUAUCAAAGAGAAAGAUAGGGGUUACAAUAAACUGUAAUCCACUUUCCUUGUUCUGUUCUUGUAGAAACUGCCCCCUAGUUAUUACAUAGUUCAAGUAGAUUAUGCAUCAUCUAGACACUCUUUGCUUCUUACGAAUGUCUUUACCUGAUAUCCUACACACAUCCUUGCAGGAACUGUUGCAAGAGAUAGCCGAAGAACAGAGAAAGGGAGAUGCUGUUGUACAUGAAGAUGAAAAUAAUGAAUGUGGCAUAGUCUUAGUAGCAUGCAAAGAUGAGCGCUCAUGCUUGCAGCUGCAGGAAUGUAUAUUGAGAAGCCCCCAUCAGGUAACUGCAGUGUGUCUUGAAUGCAGUUGGAUCAAUCUAAUGAGCAGUUGCUAUUUACUUUUUAUCUCCUUUGUGCACCUUUGCAUCUAUUUCUUCUUAAAUGCAAGUUUCUUUAUUACUAGCUAAAACUUGUUAGUGAACCCUCCAUAACACUUUUAACUUGUUUUAACAAGGUCAUGCGAGAAGAGUGGGAGAAGUACUUGCUCGGGAAAGCCGAGCUGUUCGGAUUACAUAAAAAGAAGAAAAAACGAUCUCAGCAACCAAAAGGUUUUGGUGUCCUGGAUGGGCAAUUUCCUACAGGGUCUAAUGAGAAUGAGAACGAGAAUGCAGGGCCAGUAAGCAUUAGCAAGCUUGAGACUAAUGCCUUACUUGCUGCCGCCUCUGGUAUAAGCAAUUUAACUAAGGAAGCAGAUGCCAAGGAGGAUCCAGUUCCCAGCUGCAGCAAGAAAGGUUCUGUAAAGGGAAAAGGAAAGGGAGUACAAAAGAAAAUCACGGCAAAGAGACAAGCCAGUAAAAGGAAAAAUAAAUGUACUACAGAAAAUGAUAAUUGCCAAGGUACUGACGUGGAAGCAUCAGGCAAAACAGUUGAACAGUCUGACAUUAAUGUCUCUAAGGUGUCUGCUGAAGAUGCUCCUGCUCCAGCCUCCACUCCUGACAAUGCUGAAGACUUAAUUGAUCCCAAAAUGCUACCUCCUGUGCAAUUUUAUGCCCUAGACAGUGACCAGCAUGUACUAGACAUAUGGAAACCAUCCGUAAUUAUUGUCUAUCAUCCAGAUAUGACCUUUGUCAGGGAAAUUGAGGUAUACAAGGCAGAAAACCCAUCAAAGAAGUUGAAAGUUUACUUUCUUUUUUACGAGGAAUCUUCUGAGGUGCAAAAGUUCGAGUCCAGUAUCCGCCGAGAAAAUGAAGCCUUUGAAUCAUUGAUCAGACAGAAGUCCCUGAUGAUGAUACCUGUUGAUCAGGUAGUGUUUCAGUUGAAUCUCUCCAUUAACAAAAAAUAUAUGUACCCUAGGAGUAACUUCUGCUUGGCCUUAGCCAAGCAUUUACCAUGUGAAUGAUGCUGCAUAAUGGUUUCAUGAAAUGGCUGCUAUUGAUCAAGCAGACAUGAUGUUUAUUUUAACUUCUAACCACCUUUGCAUGGGCAGAAAAUGCUGGCUUACACUUUAUGAAUGUUUCAUAUGGUUCUGGUACAUCACACGUCUGUCUUAUUUCUCUUCAGAGUGGCCGUUGCAUUGGACCAACUCCGGCAAAUGAACCAGAACCUCUUUUUUCUCAGAAUUCACUGACAAGAAAGGCAGGUGGUAGAAAGGCAACAGGGAAGGAUAUGCAGGUGACGCUACUGGGCCUUAUUUUUAUUUUGAUAAAGAAACCACAUGUCUGUUUCUGGCUGAAUUCCUAAAUUGUUCAGCACUGUAUUCUUCCAGGUUAUUGUAGACAUGCGGGAGUUCAUGAGCAGUCUUCCCAAUGUACUGCACCAGAAGGGUAUUCGAAUUAUACCGGUGACCCUGGAAGUUGGUGACUAUGUUCUUUCUCCCUUGAUAUGCGUUGAAAGAAAAAGUAUUGCAGACUUGUACCAGAGCUUUGCUUCUGGUCGUCUCUACAAUCAGGUCGAGAUCAUGAUUAGGUAUUACAAGAUCCCAGUGCUUCUGAUAGAGUUCUCACAAGAUAAGAGCUUCUCCUUUCAGGUAUUUUUCAUGCUAAUUUGUCAUUUACAGAUGGUCUCUACAAAUGACUGUCCUAUUUGUAUGAGCAAAUCGAUGUUCAUACUUCAUACUCCAAUAUUGUAUUUUUUGGUUGCACCUGAUGGUAUGCUUACUACUGGUGUGCUCAUUUUUCACGCAGUCUGCAAGCGAAGUUGGGGAUGACGUGUCCCCAACAAACAUAAUCUCGAAGCUGUCACUGCUAGUCCUGCAUUUCCCCCGGCUUCGCAUCGUGUGGUCCCGCAGCCUACACGCGACAGCAGACAUAUUCAUGUCGCUGAAAUCAAACCAGGACGAACCCGAUGAGAACAAGGCGAUGAGGGUGGGUGUGCCGUCGGAGGAUGGGGUCGUGGAAGACGACGUGAGGUAGAACCAACUUGUGUGUCUGGCAUGGCAGAGCAGAUAUGUAAUUACCAUGGAUGAUUAUGUUAUGGCCACUAACGGUAAAAUUUGGGGUUUUCAGGGCCGAGAACUACAACACAUCCGCGAUCGAGUUCCUGAGAAGGCUCCCUGGCGUGACGGACUCCAACUACAGAGCGAUAAUGGACGGAUGCAAUAGCCUGGCGGAGCUCGCGCUGCUACCGGUAGAGAGGCUAGCGGAGCUGAUGGGCAGCCAGAAGGGCGCCCGCACGCUCAAGGAGUUUCUGGAUGCCAAGUGUCCCAGCAUGAUCUCAUAGCAUCAACUUCUACUGUUCUGGUCAAGUGAAGUGAGGUCUUGGAAGAGGAGUUCCUCUGAACUAUGGGUGUUCAGAUACGCUGUACUUGUCAGGUAAGUAGGGCUAGGCUAUUUGCUAGUGUAAUCGAUAUCACAUUGUGUAAGGAGGACUGUCAAUUGGGUAGUUGAAUUCCAUCCAAAUCCAAUGCCAAAUAUGUGAUUGCUCUUAGGAAAGCUGGCUAAAUGAUGCUGUAAACUUGGUUGGCUUGAGCAGGUUUGGAGUUAAGUAAAAGCUCUGGAACAAAUAGAACACAAAAAUGAAAAAAAAAAAUAGAACACGAAAUGCAUAAGGCUAUUUUGUACUCCCUCCAUUCCAUAAUAUAAGAGCGUUUUGGAUACUACACUAGUGUUAGAGAAGUUCUUACAUUACGUGACAGAGGGAGUAUAAUAUUCUAAUGUCACAAGAGAAAAACGAGUCUAGUUUUUGGGAUUUCUUCUUACCUUUCAUGAGGAUGCCCCCCCCCCCCCCCCGGCCGCCCGCCGCCAGCAGUCAGAUUUAAAUAUUGCAACUCUUUUUUCAGAUGGUUUAAUCUUUUGUUCAUUUGCAAAUAUUUUUGUGACCUUCACUGUUGAACAAAAUAUAUGCAUUUUCAGAAGACAGCUCAAUAAAUGAAAUUCAAAACCUGGCAAAUUUGGUAGAAGUCUUUGUAACUGUUUUAGGUGUUAGGAAUAAGCAACUUGCCAUGAGGUCAUAGGCCAGUAUAUAUACAUGUACAGGUGGUGGACUAUAUGCAGGAAAACCACUUAGAUAUUGGGAUAAAUACAAAAGGGUACAUGACUUAUAUUAUAACUCUACCCCCCCCCCCCCCCCAAACCUCAUGGUGGAUGAACAACACUGAGUUUGGAAAGAUAAAAGUCAUGUUAUGUUCUAGUCUGGGCCUUUGUCAGGAAAUCCGUCAACUGUAACUCGAAAGGCGAUUCGGCAGCUUCUGCAGAUCGAGCAGACGAGGGCGGCGGGAUCUGGGAGGGCAACGGGAUUCGGCGAAGUCUGCAGAUGGAGCAGGGACAACGGGAUCCAGAAGGAGCUUCGAUGUGCUGCAGGGCUGACGGGGAACGAGCUGCUUCAAUAUGCUGCAGGGCUGACGGGAAACGAGCAGCUUCGAUGUGCUGCAGNNNNNNNNNNNNNNNNNNNNNNNNNNNNNNNNNNNNNNNNNNNNNNNNNNNNNNNNNNNNNNNNNNNNNNNNNNNNNNNNNNNNNNNNNNNNNNNNNNNNUUCUCACAACAAAUCAAAAUUUCGGUUCUUUUCCCCUUGUUCUAAAACAAUAGAUGAUUAGGUUAAAAAAGAAACAAUACACAAUUAUGUGGUAAUUUAAAUAUGUUUGAUGCUAGGGUUGAACACCUACGACUUUCUUGCAAUACAUGUGAAGUAUGCGAUGGUUGGAGCCCGAUUGUGCUCAAGAUUGAAACGUGAAAGUUGAGUGUGCGAAAGUUGCUUCCUUGAGUCGUUGUUCUGGUAUCUCGCUUUCUGGUGCAUGCAAUAGGAAAUUUACGGUUCCUAUGUAAUGUUUUAGAUUCAUGUUGGUUCAAACUCUUGCAAGUUCGAUUGGCGGAUGCUUUGAUGGGAGUUAAUGAGGUGAUUCGUUUUAUCAAAAAACUCGUAGCAUUAUUUGUUUUUCUUAAGUUGAGAACUAGAAAUACUCCCUCGAUUCCUAAAUAUAGAUCUUUGUAGAGGUUCCUACAUGGACUAUAUAUGGAUGUGUGUAGACAUAUUUUAGAGUGUACGUUCACUCCUUUUGCUCCGUAUGUAGUCCAUAUUAAAAUCUCUAGAAAUACUUAUAUUUAAGAAGUGAGGGAGUACGAUUUUCACCCAAGUUCUAGAACCUGGACAUACCGGAGACCAGGUUCAAAAAAUCAGCUCCAUCAAUAUACAGAAUAAACGAUUAUUACCUACCCCCUACCCCCCCCCCCCCCAAAAUAACAGAUUAUAAUUUGAGUUGCUUGUUUGUAACAAGCUUUUCAUAGAAGUAUUUUAUCCCUAAAACGUACUUCGGCCUGCUUCCCAUACAUAAAGUCCAAUGCUUACAAGGUGUGGAGGAAAUCAUCAUACACGAUGAUGGAAGAAAGCUUGGCAAAACAAGCCAAACAUGCUAACAAGCACAUGAAGUGCACAAUUAGAUGCCUCCAACAUGCCAUCGAGAGGAAGAACAUGAGAGGUUGGACCAACUGAAGAUUCAACUAGCACCGCUGACGACAUUCAACCACGCGCCAGUUGGAGGAAACUGCUGGACUUCAUCGCGCCAUCGCCAGCCAAUGGAUGUCGAAGAGGACCAUCUAACUAAAGCAAGGAACGUUGACUGCGAGCAGACAUGAUGAAAGGAUGACGUUGUUGCGUGUAGAAGAUAGGUGCAAGCAAAACCGUGAGUCACGGGAGGUGAGGUAGGGUCAAUUGUUUCGUCAUAUCGUUCCAAACAAGCCACCACAAAUGAAGGACAACUGCACUCACUAGUGACUCCCCGAAGAGGGUCACGACGCAAUACGCCGCUGUUGGAAUUAUGCCCUAGAGGCAAUAAUAAAUAUAGUUAUUAUUAUAAUUCCUGUAUCAAGAUAAUAGUUUAUUAUCCAUGCUAUAAUUGUAUUGAAUGAAGACUCAUUUACAUGUGUGGAUACAUAGACAAAACACCAUCCCUAGCAUGCCUCUAGUUGGCUAGCCAGUUGAUCGAUGAUAGUCAGUGUCUUCUGAUUAUGAACAAGGUGUUGUUGCUUGAUAACUGGAUCACGUCAUUGGGAGAAUCACGUGAUGGACUAGACCCAAACUAAUAGACGUAGCAUGUUGAUCGUGUCAUUUUGUUGCUACUGUUUUCUGCGUGUCAAGUAUUUAUUCCUAUGACCAUGAGAUCAUAUAACUCACUGACACCGGAGGAAUGCUUUGUGUGUAUCAAACGUCGCAACGUAACUGGGUGACUAUAAAGAUGCUCUACAGGUAUCUCCGAAGGUGUUAGUUGAGUUAGUAUGGAUCAAGACUGGGAUUUGUCACUCCGUGUGACGGAGAGGUAUCUCGGGGCCCACUCGGUAAUACAACAUCACACAAAAGCCUUGCAAGCAAUGUGACUUAGUGUAAGUUGCGGGAUCUUGUAUUACGGAACGAGUAAAGAGACUUGCCGGUAAACGAGAUUGAAAUAGGUAUGCGGAUACUGACGAUCGAAUCUCGGGCAAGUAACAUACCGAAGGACAAAGGGAAUGACAUACGGGAUUAUACGAAUCCUUGGCACUGAGGUUCAAACGAUAAGAUCUUCGUAGAAUAUGUAGGAUCCAAUAUGGGCAUCCAGGUCCCGCUAUUGGAUAUUGACCGAGGAGUCUCUCGGGUCAUGUCUACAUAGUUCUCGAACCCGCAGGGUCUGCACACUUAAGGUUCGACGUUGUUUUAUGCGUAUUUGAGUUAUAUGGUUGGUUACCGAAUGUUGUUCGGAGUCCUGGAUGAGAUCACGGACGUCACGAGGGUUUCCGGAAUGGUCCAGAAACAAAGAUUGAUAUAUAGGAUGACCUCAUUUGAUUACCGGAAGGUUUUCGGAGUUACCGGGAAUGACGAAUGGGUUCCGGGAGUUCACCGGGGGGGGGGGGCAACCCACCCCGGGGAAGCCCAUAGGCAUUGGGGGAGCCACACCAGCCCUUAGUGGGCUGGUGGGACAGCCCACAAGUGCCCCAUGCGCCAAGGAGAAGAAAAUCAAGAGAGAAAUAAAAAAAGGAGGAGGUGGGAAGGAAGGGGGACUCCCUCCCACCAAACCUAGUCCAACUCGGUUUGGGGGGGGAGAGUCCUCCCCCUUGGACUCGGCCGACCCCCUUGGGGCUCCUUGAGCCCCAAGGCAAGGCCCCCUCCCUCCCACCUAUAUAUAAGGAGGUUUUAGGGCUGAUUUGAGACGACUUUUCCACGGCAGCCCGACCACAUACCUCCACGGUUUUUCCUCUAGAGCGCGUUUCUGCGGAGCUCGGGCGGAGCCCUGCUGAGACAAGGUCAUCACCAACCUCCGGAGCGCCGUCACGCUGCCGGAGAACUCUUCUACCUCUCCGUCUCUCUUGCUGGAUCAAGAAGGCCGAGAUCAUCGUCGAGCUGUACGUGUGCUGAACGCGGAGGUGCCGUCCGUUCGGUACUAGAUCGUGGGACUGAUCGCGGGAUUGUUCGCGGGGCGGAUCGAGGGACGUGAGGACGUUCCACUACAUCAACCGCAUUCUCUAACGCUUCUGCUGUACGGUCUACGAGGGUACGUAGAUCACUCAUCCCCUCUCGUAGAUGGACAUCACCAUGAUAGGUCUUCGUGCGCGUAGGAAAUUUUUUGUUUCCCAUGCGACGUUCCCCAACAGCCGCCACCAUCCAUCUGUAUGUGCGCAUAAGGGUUUUCACCUUGAGUUGAGAGGGCGAGAGAGCCAUGGCGACGACCCCAAGAGGGACAUGACUACCAAGACAUCACGUUACCAGCACGGAGGCGUCGAGCUUUCGCUUGGACCACAACUCACACUUAGUCAAGGGGACUUGGGCCACCAGAUCCACCAUGAUGGGCCCCAGACUCCAGNNNNNNNNNNNNNNNNNNNNNNNNNNNNNNNNNNNNNNNNNNNNNNNNNNNNNNNNNNNNNNNNNNNNNNNNNNNNNNNNNNNNNNNNNNNNNNNNNNNNAUGUCCCUCUUGGGGUCGUCGCCAUGGCUCUCUCGCCCUCUCAACUCAAGGUGAAAACCCUUAUGCGCACAUACAGAUGGAUGGUGGCGGCUGUUGGGGAACGUCGCAUGGGAAACAAAAAAUUUCCUACGCGCACGAAGACCUAUCAUGGUGAUGUCCAUCUACGAGAGGGGAUGAGUGAUCUACGUACCCUCGUAGACCGUACAGCAGAAGCGUUAGAGAACGCGGUUGAUGUAGUGGAACGUCCUCACGUCCCUCGAUCCGCCCCGCGAACAAUCCCGCGAUCAGUCCCACGAUCUAGUACCGAACGGACGGCACCUCCGCGUUCAGCACACGUACAGCUCGACGAUGAUCUCGGCCUUCUUGAUCCAGCAAGAGAGACGGAGAGGUAGAAGAGUUCUCCGGCAGCGUGACGGCGCUCCGGAGGUUGGUGAUGACCUUGUCUCAGCAGGGCUCCGCCCGAGCUCCGCAGAAACGCGAUCUAGAGGAAAAACCGUGGAGGUAUGUGGUCGGGCUGCCGUGGAAAAGUCGUCUCAAAUCAGCCCUAAAACCUCCUUAUAUAUAGGUGGGAGGGAGGGGGCCUUGCCUUGGGGCUCAAGGAGCCCCAAGGGGGUCGGCCGAGUCCAAGGGGGAGGACUCUCCCCCCCCCCCCCAAACCGAGUUGGACUAGGUUUGGUGGGAGGGAGUCCCCCUUCCUUCCCACCUCCUCCUUUUUUUUUCUUUCUCUCUUGAUUUUCUUCUCCUUGGCGCAUAGGACACUUGUGGGCUGUCCCACCAGCCCAGGUGUGGCUCCCCCAAUGCCUAUGGGCUUCCCCGGGGUGGGUUGCCCCCCCCCCCCCCGGUGAACUCCCGGAACCCAUUCGUCAUUCCCGGUAACUCCGAAAACCUUCCGGUAAUCAAAUGAGGUCAUCCUAUAUAUCAAUCUUCGUUUCCGGACCAUUCCGGAAACCCUCGUGACGUCCGUGAUCUCAUCCGGGACUCCGAACAACAUUCGGUAACCAACCAUAUAACUCAAAUACGCAUAAAACAACGUCGAACCUUAAGUGUGCAGACCCUGUGGGUUCGAGAACUAUGUAGACAUGACCCGAGAGACUCCUCGGUCAAUAUCCAAUAGCGGGACCUGGAUGCCCAUAUUGGAUCCUACAUAUUCUACGAAGAUCUUAUCGUUUGAACCUCAGUGCCAAGGAUUCGUAUAAUCCCGUAUGUCAUUCCCUUUGUCCUCGGUAUGUUACUUGCCCGAGAUUCGAUCGUCAGUAUCCGCAUACCUAUUUCAAUCNNNNNNNNNNNNNNNNNNNNNNNNNNNNNNNNNNNNNNNNNNNNNNNNNNNNNNNNNNNNNNNNNNNNNNNNNNNNNNNNNNNNNNNNNNNNNNNNNNNNUCGUUGUUCUGGUAUCUCGCUUUCUGGUGCAUGCAAUAGGAAAUUUACGGUUCCUAUGUAAUGUUUUAGAUUCAUGUUGGUUCAAACUCUUGCAAGUUCGAUUGGCGGAUGCUUUGAUGGGAGUUAAUGAGGUGAUUCGUUUUAUCAAAAAACUCGUAGCAUUAUUUGUUUUUCUUAAGUUGAGAACUAGAAAUACUCCCUCGAUUCCUAAAUAUAGAUCUUUGUAGAGGUUCCUACAUGGACUAUAUACGGAUGUGUGUAGACAUAUUUUAGAGUGUACUUUCACUCCUUUUUCUCCGUAUGUAGUCCAUAUUAAAAUCUCUAGAAAUACUUAUAUUUAAGAAGAGAGGGAGUAUGAUUUUCACCAAGUUCUAGAACCUGGACAUACCGGAGACCAGGUUCAAAAAAUCAGCUCCAUCAAUAUACAGAAUAAACGAUUAUUACCUACCCCCUUGCCCCCCCCCCCCCAAAAAAACAGAUUAUAAUUUGAGUUGCUUGUUUGUAACAAGCUUGUCAUAGAAGUAUUUUAUCCCUAAAACGUACUUCGGCCUGCUUCCCAUACAUAAAGUCCAAUGCUUACAAGGUGUGGAGGAAAUCAUCAUACACGAUGAUGGAAGAAAGCUUGGCAAAACAAGCCAAACAUGCUAACAAGNNNNNNNNNNNNNNNNNNNNNNNNNNNNNNNNNNNNNNNNNNNNNNNNNNNNNNNNNNNNNNNNNNNNNNNNNNNNNNNNNNNNNNNNNNNNNNNNNNNNUACAUCUGGGACUCCAACGGGAAUAUUUACAACUUGCACUGAGAUUCGUUGUAUUCUCUGUCUCCUAGAAAUUUGAGGACACUGUUUAUUUUGUGAAGAAAUGAAUAAGACGGACGACUCUAGGGCGGUAGUUAUCUUUUUUAUGGGGCACUGAACCUUUAUGCCUUUCUGUUGUAAUUCUGAAUAUGCCUUAUUUUUCUCGCAAAAAAUAAAGAAUAUGCCUUGUUUUUAUGCAGUCGUCUAGCUUUGAAUGUGUUCCAGUGUCGGUUUUGGAGCGAGUAAAUAACUUUCUGAAUGUAAGCACUUGAACUUGAGCUAUCUUGUCGUGUUGGCUUGAAACUGCCCAGCCCUGGACGAGUUCUCGUUCCCGGAGAAGACGAUGGUGGUGCUGGGCAGUUAGGAGGGCAUCCCGGUGGACAUCAUCCAGGAGGCGGUGGACGUGUGCGUCGAGAUCCCGCAGCUGGGCGUCGUCCGGUCGCUCAACGUCCGUGUCAGCGCCGCCAUCCGNNNNNNNNNNNNNNNNNNNNNNNNNNNNNNNNNNNNNNNNNNNNNNNNNNNNNNNNNNNNNNNNNNNNNNNNNNNNNNNNNNNNNNNNNNNNNNNNNNNNCCCGAACGUUUGGAUCGCAGCGGGACCCGAAAUCACCUUGACGUAAUACGCAUACAAAACUGACCAGAAUAGGCCAAAUCUGUGAGUUUUGACGAGUUCCCCAUAACCGGGACAACGGGGUUCCCCGAACAUUCGGAUUGCAUAGGGACCCAAAUUGAUUGAGUAAUAGCAUAUAAAAUUUGCCACAAUAGGCCAAAACUGCGAGUUUUGAUGUGUACCCCGUUGUCGGACCCCGAGCUUCCCCGAACGUUCGGAUCUCAGUGGGACCCAAAAUCAGUGAGUAAUAGCAUAGAAAACUGGCCAGAAUAUGCCAAAACUACGAGUUUUGACGUGUUCCCCGUAACCGGACCUCGGGGUUCCCCGACCAUUUGGAUCGCAGCGGGACCCAAAAUCAGUGAGAAAUAGCUUACAAAACUGGCCAUAAUAGGCCAAAACUGCGAGCUUUGACGAGUUCCCCAUAACCGGUCUGUGGGGUUCCCCGAACGUUCGGAGUGCAGCAUGACCCAAAAUGAUUGAGNNNNNNNNNNNNNNNNNNNNNNNNNNNNNNNNNNNNNNNNNNNNNNNNNNNNNNNNNNNNNNNNNNNNNNNNNNNNNNNNNNNNNNNNNNNNNNNNNNNNACUAUGAAAGAAGAAUUAAGACAAUGUCUAACCAUAGCAUUAAACUAGUGGAUCCAAAUCAGCCCCUUACAAAGCAACACAUAGACUGGGGUUUAAGCUUCUGUCACUCUAGCAACCCAUCAUCUACUUACUACUCCCCAAUGCCUUCCUCUAGGCCCAAGUAUGGUGAAGUGUUAUGUAGUCGGCGUUCACAUAACACCACUAGAGGAAAAACAACAUACAGCGUAUCAAAAUACCGAACGAAUACCAAAUUCACAUGACUAUUAUUAGCAUGACUUAUCCCAUGCCCUCAGGAACAAAAGUAACUACUCACAAAGCAUAAUCGUAAUCAUGAUCAGAGGUGUAAUGAAUAGCAUCAAGGAUCUGAACAUAAACUCUUCCACCAAGUAAUCCAACUAGCAUCAACUACAAAGAGUAAUCAACACUAUAGCAACCUUACAAGUACCAAUCGGAGUCGCGAGACGGAGAUUGGUUACAAGAGAUGAACUAGGGUUUGGAGAGGAGAUGGUACUGAUGAAGAUGUUGAUUGAGAUGCCUCCCCUCCGAUGAGAGAAGUGUUGGUGAUGACGAUGGCGGCGAUUUCCCCCUCCGGGAGGGAAGUUUCCCCGGCAGGAUCGUCCUGCCGGAGCUCUAGAUUGGAUCUGCUCAAGUUCCGCCUCAUGGCGGCGGAGAGUCCAUAAAAAAGCUCCACCCUGAUUUUUUUCUCGGACGAAACCCUUCAUAUAGCAAAAGAGGGGGGGGCAGUGGGCCACCAGGGUGCCCACUAGCCCUGUUGUCGCGGCCAGGGGGUAGGUCGCGGCAAUCGGGGUUCUCAUCAAAACUCGCAGUUUUGGCCCAUUUUAGCCAAUUUUCUAUGCUAUUACUCAAUCAUUUUGGGUCCCGCUGCAAUCCGAACAUUCGGGAACCCCGUGGUCCGGGUAUGGGGCACUCGUCUAAGCUCACAGAUUUGGUCUAUUAUGGCCAGUUUUAUAUUUUAUUACUAACUAAUGAUAGGUACCGUUGCGAUCCGAAUGUUUGGGGGACCGCGAGGUCCAUUUAGGGGAACUCGUCAAAAGUGACAUAUUUGGCCUAUCCUGGCUAGUUUCUAUAAUAUUACUCACUGAUUUUGGGUCCUUCUAUGAUCCAAACGUUCAGGGAACCCCGGUGUCCGGUUCCGGGGAACUCGUCAAAACUUGCACUUUUGGCCUCUUCUCGCUAGUUUUAUAUGGUAUUGCUCACUUGUGUUAGGUCCCGCUGUGAUCCAAACGUUCAGGGAACCCCGGGGUUCGGUUACGGGGAACUCGUCAAAACUUGCGGUUUUGGGCCAAUCUGGACUAUUUUCUAUGCUAUUACUCAAUCAUUUUGGGUCUGGCUGCAAUCCGAACGUUCUGGGAACCCCGCGGUCCGGGUACGGGCAAAACUCACAGAUUUGUCCCUUUCUGGCCAGUUUUGUAUGCUAUUACUCACUUAUGUUGGGUCCCGUUGUGAUCCGAACGUUCGGGGAACCACGGGGUCACGUUACGGGGAACUCGUGAAAACUCACAGAUUUGGCCUAUUCUCGCUAGUUUUGUGUAAUAUUACUCACUUAUUUUGGGUCCCGGGCUGACCUAAACAUUCGGUGAACCCCGGGGCCCGGUUGCAGGGAACUCGUAAAAGCUCACAGAUUUGGCCUAUUCUGUCCAGUUUUGUAAGCUAUUACUCACUGAUUUUGGGUCCCGCUGCGAUCCAAACGUUCGGGGAACCACGGGGUCCGGUUGCAGGGAACUCGUCAAAACUCGAAGUGUUGGCCUAUUGUGGCCAGUUUCCUAUGCUAUUACUCGCUUAUGUUGGGUCCCGCUGCGAUCCAAACUUUCAUGGAAUCCCGGGGUCCGGCUACGGGGAACUCGUCAAAACUAGUAGUUUUGGCCUAUUCUCGCCAAUUGUCAAUGCUAUUACUCAAUCAUUUUGGGUCCUGCUGCACUCCGAACGUUUGGGGAACCCCACGGCCCGGUUAUGGGGAGCUCGUCAAAGCUCGCAGUUUUGGCCUAUUCUGGCCAGUUUUGUAAGCUAUUUCUCAUUGAUUUUGGGUCCCGCUACGAUCCAAAUGUUCGGGCAACCCCUGGGUCCGGUUGCGGGGAACAUGUCAAAACUCACACUUUUGGCAUAUUCUCGUCAGAUUUCUAUGCUAUUACUCACUGAUUUUGGGUCCCGCUGAGAUCCGAACGUUCGGGGAAGCUCGGGGUCCGACUACGGGGUACUCGUCAAAACUCGUUGUUUUGGCCUAUUCUCGCAAAUUUUAUAUGCUAUUACUCAAUCAUUUUGGGUCCCNNNNNNNNNNAUGCAAUUCAAACGUUCGGGGAACCCCUCGGUCCCGGUUAUGGGGAACUCUUCAAAACUCAUAGAUUUGGCCUAUUAUGGCCAGUUUUGUAGGCUAUUACUCACUGAUUUUGGGUCCCGCUGCGAUCCAAAUGUUCGGGGAACCCUGCGGUCCCGUUAUGUGGAACUCGUCAAAACUCGCAGUUUUGACCUAUUCUGGCUAGUUUUCUAUGCUAUUACUCACUGAUUUUGGAUCCCAUUGCGAUCCGAAUGUUCGGGAAAGCCCAGGGUCCGGCUAUGGGGUACUCGUCAAAACUCGCAGUUUUGGCCUAUUCUCGCCAAUUUUCUAUCCUAUUACUCAAUCAUUUUGGGUCCUGCUGCACUCCGAACAUUCGGGGAACCCUGCGGUCGAGUUAUGUGGUACUCGUCAAAGCUCACACAUUUGGCCUAGUUUGUCCAGUUUUGUAAGCUGUUACUCACUGAUUAUAGGUCCCGCUGCUAUCCAAACGUUCGGGGAACCCCGGGGCUCGGUUACGGGGAACUCGUCAAAACUCGCGGUUUUGGGCCAAUCUGGCCAAUUUUCUAUGCUAUUACUCAAUCAUUUUGGGUCCGGCUGCAAUCCGAACGUUCGGGGAACCCCGCGCUCCGGGUACAGGCAGAACUCACACAUUUGGCCUAUUUUGGCCAGUUUUGUAUGCUAUUACUCGCUUAUGUUGGGUCCCGCUGCGAUCCGAACGUUCGGGGAACCACGGGGUCCGUUUACGGGGAACUCGUGAAAACUCGCAGAUUUGGCCUAUUCUGGCCAGUUUUGUACAAUAUUACUCACUUAUUUUGGGUCCCGGGUCGACAUGAACAUUCGGGGAACCCCGGGACCCGGUUACAGAGAACUCGUAAAAUCUCACAGAUUUGGCAUAUUCUGUCCAGUUUUGUAAGCUAUUACUCACUGAUUUUGGGUCUCGCUGCGAUCCAAACAUUCGGGGAACAAAGGGGUCCGGUUACGGGGAACUCGUCAAAACCCGAAGUGUUGGCCUAUUAUGGCCAGUUUUCUAUGCUAUUACUCAAUGAUUUUGGGUCCCGCUGCGAUCCGAACGUUCGUGGAAGCCCGGGGUCCGGCUACGAGGUACUCGUCAAAACUGGUAGUUUUGGCCUAUUCUCGCCAACUUUCAAUGCUAUUACUCAAUUAUUUUGGGUCCUACUGCACUCAAUACGUUCGACGAACCCCUCGGUCCGGUUAUGGUGAGUCGUCGAAGCUCGCAGUUUUGGCCUAUUGUGGCCAGUUUUGUAAGCUAUUUCUGAUUGAUUUUGGGUCCCACUGAGAUCCGAACAUUCGGGAAGCUCGGGGUCGAACUACGGGGUACUCGUCAAAACUCGCAGUUUUGGUCUAUUCAAGCAAAUUUUAUAUGUUAUUACUCAAUCAUUUUGGGUCCAUAUGCAAUUCGAACGUUCGGGGAACCCCGCGGUCCCGGUUAUGGGGAACUCGUCAAAACUCACAGAUUUGGCCUAUUCUGGCCAGUUUUGUAUAUUAUUAAUCACUGAUUUUGGGUACCGCUGCGAUCCAAUGUUUGGGGAACCCUGCGGUCCGGCUAUGUGGUACUCGUCAAAACUUGUAGUUUUGACCUAUUUUGGCUAGUUUUCUAUGCUAUUACUCACUGAUUUUGGAUCCGACUGCGAUCCAAACGUUCGGGGAAGCCCGGAGUCCAGCUACGGGGUAUUCGUCAAAACUCGCAGUUUUGGCCCAUUCUCGCCAAUUUUCUAUGCUAUUACUCAAUCAUUUUGGGUCUUGCUACACUCCGAACAUUUGGGGAACCUGGUGGUCCACUUAUGUGGAACUCAUCAGAGCUCGCAGUUUUGGCCUAUUCUAGCCAGUUUUGUAAGCUAUUACUCACUAGUUCUAGGUCCCGCUGCGAUCCAAACGUUUGGGGAACCACGGGGUCCGGUUACGGGGAACAUGUCAAAACUCGAAGUGUUGGCCUAUUCUGGCCAGUUUUUUAUGAUAUUACUCACUGAUUUUGGGUCCCGCUGAGAUCCGAACGUUCGGGGAAGCUCGGGGUCCGACUACGGGGUACUCGUCAAAACUCGCAGUUUUGGCCUAUUAUGGCAAAUCUUAUAUGCUAUUACUCAAUCAUUUUGGGUCCCUAAGCAAUCCGAACGUUCGGGGAAGCCCGGGGUUAAGCUACGGGGUACUCCUCAAAAUUCACAGUUUUGGCCCAUUCUGGCCAAUUUUCUAUGCUAUUACUCAAUCAUUUUGGUUCCCACUGAAAUCCGAACAUUCGGGGAACCCCGUGGUCCGGUUAUAGGGAACUUGUUGGAAAUAUGCCCUAGAGGCAAUAAUAAAAUGGUUAUUAUAAUAUUUCCUUAUUCAUGAUAAUCGUCUAUUGUUCAUGUUGUAAUUGUUAUAACAGGAAAUAGUAAUACAUGUGUGAACAAAUAGAUCACAAUGUGUCCCUAGCAAGUCUCUAGUUGGCUAGCUCGUUGAUCCAUAGAUGAUCAUGGUUUCCUGAUCAUGGGCAUUAGAUGUCAUUGAUAAUGGGAUCACAUCAUUGGGAGAAUGAUGUGAUGGACAAGACCCAAUCCUUAGCAUAGUACUAGAUCGUAUUGUUCGUAUGCUAAAGCUUUUCUAAUGUCAAGUGUCUUUUCCUUCGACCGUGAGAUUGUGCAACUCCCGGAUACCGUAGGAGUGAUUUGGGUGUAUCAAAUGUCACAACGUAACUGGGUGACUAUAAAGGUGCACUACGGGUACCUCUGAAAGUGUUUGCUGGGUUAGCAUGAAUCAAGAUCGGGAUUUGUCACUCCGUGUGACGGAGAGGUACCUCUGGGCCCACUCGGUAGAACAUCAUCAUGAGCUCAAUGUGACUAAGGAGUUAAUCACAGGAUUAUGUGCUACGAAACGAGUAAAGAUACUUUCCAGUAACGAGAUUGAACAAGGUAUAAGUAUACCGACGAUCGAAUCUCGGGCAAGUUCUAUACCGACAAACAAAGGGAAUUGCAUACGGGAUUGAUUGAAUCCUUGACAUCGUGGUUCAUCCGAUGAGAUCAUCGUGGAACGUGUGGGAGCCACCAUGGGUAUCCAGAUCCCGCUGAUGGUUAUUGGCCGGAGAGCGUCUCGGUCAUGUCUGCAUGUUUCCCGAACCCGCAGGGUCUACACACUUAAGGUUCGAUGACGCUAGGGUUAUAGGGAAAUGUUAUACGAGGUUACUGAAAGUUGAUCAGAGUUCUGGAUGAGAUCCCGGACGUCACGGCGAGCUCCAGAAUGGUCCGGAGGUAAAGAUUGAUAUAUAGGAUGGAUGGUUUUGGAGAUCGGAAAUGUUUCUGACGUCACCGGUAGCGUACCGGGACCACCUGGACCACCGGAAAUGGUCCCGGGGGUCCACCGGGAGGGGACACCAGGCCCAAGAGGUAGCAUGGGCCAAGAGGGGGAGGGAAACCAGCCCAAAGUGGGCUGGUGCGACUCCCACAAGAGGCCCAAGGUGCAGGAGGUGGAGAGGGGGGGGGAAACCCUAGGCGCUGGUGGGCCUAAGGCCCACCUAGGGGUGCGCCACCCCUCCCCCUGCCCUAGCCGCCGCACCUCCCAUCUGGGAGGGCUGCCGCACCACCUAGGGGGAAACCCUAGGAGUGGCAACCCCCCUCCCCUCCUCCUAUAUAUAGGGAGGGGUUUGGGGUUGUUUUACACACCGUUUCUUCUCCCCUCGGCGCAUCCCUGCUCCCCUCCUUCCUCCUCCUCCCACGGUGCUUGGCGAAGCCCUGCCGGGAGCCCUCGUCUCUCCAUCGACACCAUGCCGUCGUGCUGCCGGAGAUCUUCCCCAACCUCUCCCUCCUCCUUGCUGGAUCAAGGUGUAGGAGACAUCACCGGGCUGCACGUGUGUUGAACGCGGAGGUGCCGUGGUUCGGCACUAGAUCGGAAUCACACCGCGAUCUGAAUCGCCGUGAGUACGACUCCAUCAACUGCGCUCUAGCAACGCAUCCGCUUAGCAAUCUUCAAAGGUAUGAAGAUGCACUCACCCCUCUCUCGUUGCUGGUCUCUCCAUAGGAAGAUCUGAAUAUGCGUAGGAAUUUUUUUGAAUUUAUGCUACGUUACCCAACAGAACUCGUCAAAGCUCACAUAUUUGGCCUAUUCUGGCCAGUUUUGUAAGCUAUUGCUCACUGAUUUUGGGUCCUGCUGCGAUCCAAACGUUCGGGGAACCCUGGGUCCGGUUAUGUAGAACUCGUCAAAACUCGCAGUUUUUACCUUUUCUAGCUAGUUGUCUAUGCUAGUACUCACUAAUUUUGGAUCCCACUGCGAUCCGAACGUUCGGGGAAGCCCGGCGUCCGGCUACGGGGUACUCGUCAAAACUCGCAGUUUUGGCCUAUUCUCNNNNNNNNNNNNNNNNNNNNNNNNNNNNNNNNNNNNNNNNNNNNNNNNNNNNNNNNNNNNNNNNNNNNNNNNNNNNNNNNNNNNNNNNNNNNNNNNNNNNGGGGUACUCAUCAAAACUCAUAGUUUUGGCCUAUUCUCGCCAAUUUUCAAUGCUAUUACUCAAUCAUUUUGGGUCCUACUGCACUCUGAACGUUUUGGGAACCCCACGGUCCGGUUAUGGGGAACUCGUCAAAGCUCGCAGUUUUGGCCUAUUCUGGCCAGUUUUGUCAGUUAUUUCUCACUGAUUUUGGGUCCCGCUGAGAUCCAAAUGUUCGGGGAACCCCAGGGUCCGGUUAUGGGGAAGGUGUCAAAACUCAGUGUUUUUGCAUAUUCUGGCCAGUUUUCUAUUCUAUUACUCACUGAUUUUGGGUCCCGUUGCGAUUCGAACGUUCGUGGAAGCUGGGGGGUCCGACUGCGGGGUACUCAUUAAAACUAGCAGUUUUGGCCUAUUCUUGCAAAUUUUAUAUGCUAUUACUCAAUCAUUUUGGGUCCUUGUGCAAUCCGAACGUUCGGGGAACCCCGCGGUCCCGGUUAUGGGGAACUCCUCAAAACUCACAGAUUUGGCCUAUUCUAGCCAGUUUUGUAUGCUAUUACUCGCUGAUUUUGGGUCCCGCUGCGAUCCAAACGUUCGGGGAACCGUGCGGUUUGGUUAUGGGGAACCCGUCAAAACCCGAAUGUUGGCCUAUUCUGGCCAGUUUUCUAUGCUAUUACUCACUGAUUUUGGGGUCCCACUGAGAUCCUAACUUUUAGGGAAUCCCGGGGUCCGGCUACGCGGUACUCAUCAACACUCGCAGUUUUGGCCUAUUCUGGCCAAUUUUCUAUGCUAUUACUCAAUCAACUUGCUUCCUGCUGCACUCUGAACGUUCGGGGAACCCCGCGGUCCGGUUAUGUCGAACUCGUCAAAGCUCACAGAUUUGGCAUAUUCUGGCCAGUUUUGUCAGCUAUUUCUCACAGAUUUUGGGUCCCGCUACGAUCCAAAUGUUUGGGGAACCCCGGGGUCCCGUUACGGGGAACACGUCAAAACUCACUGAUUUUGAGUCUCGCUGCGAGCCGAACGUUCGGGGAAGCUCGGGGUCCGACUACUAUGUACUCGUCAAAACUCGUAGUUUUGGCCUAUUCUGGCAAAUUUUAUAUGCUAUUACUCAAUCAUUUUUGGUCCCUUUGUGAUCAGAAUGUCCGGGGAACCCUGCGGUCCCGGUUAUGGGGAACUCGUCAAAACUAACAGAUUUGGCCUAUUCUGGCCAGUUUUGUAUGAUAUUACUCGCUGAUUUUGGGUCCCGCUGCGAUCCAAACGUUCGGGAAACCCUGCGGUCCGGUUAUGUGGAACUCACCGAAACUCACAGUUUUGACCUAUUCUGUCUAAUUUUCUAUGCUAUUACUCACCGAUUUUGGAUCCCACUAUGAUCCGAACGUUCGGGAAAGCCCGGGGUCCUGUUACGGGGUACUCGUCAAAUCUUGCCAUUUCGGCCUAUUCUCGCCUAUUCUGGCCAGUUUUGUCAGCUAUUUCUCACUGAUUUUGGGUCCCGCUGCGAUCCAAAUGUUCGGGGAACCCCGGGAUCCGGUUAUGGGGAACAUGUCAAAACUCGAAGUUUUUGCAUAUUCUAGCCAGUUUUCUAUUCUAUUACUCAACGAUUUUGGGUCCCACUGCCAUUCGAACGUUCGGGGAAGCUCUGGGUCUCACUAUGGGGUACUCAUCAAACUCGUAGCUUUGGCCUAUUCUGGCAAAUUUUAUAUGCUAUUACUCAAUCAUUUUGGNNNNNNNNNNACUCUGCAAUCCGAACGUUCGGGGAACCCCACGGUCCCGGUUAUGGGGAACUCGUCAAAACUCACAGAUUUGGCCUAUUCUGGCCAGUUUCGUAUGCUAUUACUCACUCAUUUUGGGUCCCGCUACGAUCCAAACGUUCGGGGAACCCUGCGGUCCGGUUAUAUGGAACUCAUCAAAACACACACUUUUGACCUAUUCUUGCUACUUUUCUAUGCUAUUACUCACUGAUUUUGGAUCCCACUGAGAUCCGAACGUUCGGGAAGCCCGGGGUCCGACUACGGGGUACUUGUCAAAACUCGCAGUUUUGGCCUGUUCUGGCUAGUUCUGUAUGCUAUUACUCGCUGAUUUUGGGUCCUGCUGCACUCCGGGGUCCGGCUACGGGGUACUCGUCAAAACUCGUAGUUUUGGCCUAUUAUCGGCAAUUUUCAAUGUUAUUACUCAACCAUUUUGGGUCCUGCUGCACUCUGAACGUUCGGGGAACCCCUCAGUCCGGUUAUGGGUAACUCGUGAAAGCUCGCAAUUUUGGCCUAUUCUUGCCAGUUUUGUAAACUAUUUCUCACUGAUUUUGGGUCCCGGUGAUAUCCCAAUGUUUGGGGAAUCCCGGGGUCCGGUUUUGGGGAACAGGUCAAAACUCGCAGUUUUGGCAUAUCCUGGCCAGUUUCCUAUGCUAUUACUCACUGAUUUUGGGGUCUCGCUGCGAUCCGAACAUUCGGGGAAGCUCGGGGUCCGACUACGGGGUACUUCUCAAAACUCACAGUUGUGGCCUACUCUGGCGACUUUUAUAUGCUAUUACUCAAUCAUUUUGGGUCCCUCUGCAAUCCAAACGUUCGGGGAACCCCGCGGUCCCGGUUAUGGGGAACUCGUCAAAACUCAGAGAUUUGGCUUAUUCUAGCCAGUUUUGUAAGCUAUUACUCACUGAUUUUGGGUCAUCUUGCGAUCCAAACGUUCGGUGAAGCACGGGGUCCAGUUAUGAGGAACCCGUCAAAACUCGCAGUUUUGGCCUAUUCUAGCCAGUUCUGUCACCUAUUUCUCACUGAUUUUGGGUCCCGCUGCCAUUCAAAUGUUCGGGGAACCCCAGGGCACGGUUACGGGGAACGUGUCAAAACUCGGAGUUUUUGCAUAUUGUGGCCAGUUUCCUAUUCUUUUACUCACUGGUUUUGGUUCCCACUGCGAUCCGAACGUUCGUGGAAGCCCGGGGUCCGGCUACGGGGUACUCGUGAAAACUCGCAGGUUUGGCCUAUUCUAGCCAAUUGUCUAUGUUAUUACUCUAUCAUUUUGGGUCCUGCUACACUCCGAACAUUCGGGGAACCUCGCGGUCUAGUUAUGUGGAAUUCGUGAAUGCUCACAGAUUUGGCCUAUUCUGUCCAGUUUUGUAAGCUAUUACUCACUGGUUUUGUGUCAUGUUGUGAUCCAAACGUUCGGGGAACCACGGCGUCCAGUUGUGGGGAACCCGUCAAAACUUGAAUGUUGGCCUAUUCUAGCCAGUUUUCUAUGCUAUUACUCACUGAUUUUGGGGUCCCGUUGCGAUCCGAACGUUCGUAGGAGCCCUGGGUCCGGCUGCGGGGUACUCGUACAACUCGUAGUUUUGGCCUAUUCUCGCCAAUUUUCAAUGCUAUUACUCAAUCAUUUUGGGUCCUGCUGCACUCCGAACAUUCGGGGAACCCCGCGGUCCAGUUAUGUGGAACUCAUCAAAACUCACAGAUUUGGCAUAUUUUGACCACUUUUGUAAGCUAUUACUCACUGAUUUUGGGUCCCGCUGUGAUCCAAACGUUCGGGGAACAACGGGGUCCGGUUACGGGGAACUCGUAAAAACUCAAAUUAUUGGCCUAUUCUGGCCAGUUUUCUAUGCUAUUAAUCACUGAUUUUGGGUCCCGCUGCGAUCCGAACGUUCGUGGAAGCCCGGGGUCCGGCUGUGGGGUACUCGUCAAAACUCACAGUUUUGGCCUAUUCUCGCCAAUUUCCUAUGCUAUUACUCAAUCAUUUUGUGUCUUGCUACACUCCGAACAUUCGAGGAACCACGCGGUCCAGUUAUGUGGAACUCGUCAAAGCUCGCAAUUUUGGCCUAUUCUGGCCAGUUUUGUGAGCUAUUUCUCACUUAUUUUGCGUCCCGCUGUGAUCCAAAUGUUCGGGGAACCCCGGGGUCCGAUUACGGGGAACAUGUCAAAACUCGGAGUUUUUGCAUAUUCUCGCCAGUUUUCUAUUCUAUAACUCACUGAUUUCGGGUCCCGCUUCGAUCAGAACGCUCGGGGAACCUCGGGGUCCGACUACGGGGUACUCAUCAAAACUCGCAGUUUUGGCCUAUUCUGGCAAAUUUUAUAUGCUAUNNNNNNNNNNNNNNNNNNNNNNNNNNNNNNNNNNNNNNNNNNNNNNNNNNNNNNNNNNNNNNNNNNNNNNNNNNNNNNNNNNNNNNNNNNNNNNNNNNNNUUGCGAGUUUUGACGAGUACCCCAUAGCCGGACCCCGGGCUUCCCCGUACGUCCGUAUCGCAGUGGGAUCCAAAAUGAGUGGGUAAUAGCAUACAAAACUGGCCAGAAUAGGCCAAAUCUAUGAGUUUUGACGAGUUUCCCAUAACCGGGACCGCGGGUCUCCCCGAACGUUCGGAUUGCAGAGGGACGCAAAAUGAUUGAGUAAUAAUAUAGAAAAUUGGUGAGAAUAGGCCAAAACUGCGAGUUUUGACGAGUACCCCGUAGCCGGACCCCGGGCUUCCCCGAACGUUUGGAUCGCAGUGCGAUCAAAAAAUCGGUGAGUAAUAGCAUCGAAAACUAGCCAGAAUAGGUCAAAUUUGCGAGUUUUGACGAGUUCCACAUAACCGGAGUGCAGGGUUCCCCGAACGUUUGGAUCACAGCGGGACCAAAAAUCAGUGAGUAAUAGCAUACAAAAUUGGCCAGAAUAGGCCAAAAUUUGUGAGUUUUGACGAGUUCCUCGUAACCGGGACCGUGGGGUUCCCCGUACAUUCGGAUUGCAGAGGGACCCAAAAUGAUUGAGUAAUAGCAUAUAAAAUUUGCCAAAAUAGGCAAAAACUACGAGUUUUGAUGAGUACCCCGUAGUCGGACACCAAGCUUCCCCGAACAUUCGGAUCGCAGCGGGACCCAAACUCAGCCAGUAAUACCAUAGAAAACUGGCUAGAAUAUGCCAAAACUGUGAGUUUUGACGUGUUCCCCGUAACCGGACCCCGGGAUUCCCCGAACAUUUGGAUCACAGCGGGACCCAAAAUCAGUGAGAAAUAGCUUACAAAACUGGCUAGAAUAGCCAAAACUGCGAGCUUUGACGAGUUCCCCAUAACUGGACCGUGGGGUUUCCCGAACGUUCGGAGUGCAGCAGGACCAAAAAAUAUUGAGUAAUAGCAUUGAAAAUUGGCGAGAAUAGGCCUAAACUACGAGUUUUGACGAGUACCCCGGAGCUGGACCCCGGGCUUCCACGAACGUUCGGAUCGCAGCGGGACCCAAAAUCAGUGAGUAAUAGCAUAGAAAACUGGACAUAAUAGGCUAACACUUCGAGUUUUGACGAGUUCCCCGUAACCGGACCCCAUGGUUCCCCGAAUGUUUGGAUCGCGGCGUGACCCAAAACCAGUGAGUAAUAGCUUAAAAACUAUACAGAAUAGGCCAAAUCUGUGAGGUUUGACGAGUUCCACAUAACUGGACCGCGGGGUUCCCCGAAUGUUUGGAAUGCAGCAGGACCCAAAAUCAUUGAGUAAUAUCAUAGAAAGUUGGCGAGAAUAGGUCAAAACUGCGACUUUUGAAGAGUACCCCGAAGCCAGACCCGGGCUUCCCCAAUGUUUGGAUCGCAGUGGGAUCCGAAAUCAGUGAGUAAUAGCAUAGAAACUAGCCAGAAUAGGUCAAAACUACAAGUUUUGACGAGUACCACAUAGCCGGACCGCAGGGUUCCCCGAACGUUUGGAUCGCAGCGGGACCCGAAAUCACUGAGUAAUAGCAUACAAAACUGACCAGAAUAGGCCAAAUCUGUGAGUUUUGACGAGUUCCCCAUAACCGGGACAACGGGGUUCCCCGAACAUUCGGAUUGCAUAGGGACCCAAAUUGAUUGAGUAAUAGCAUAUAAAAUUUGCCACAAUAGGCCAAAACUGCGAGUUUUGAUGUGUACCCCGUUGUCGGACCCCGAGCUUCCCCGAACGUUCGGAUCUCAGUGGGACCCAAAAUCAGUGAGUAAUAGCAUAGAAAACUGGCCAGAAUAUGCCAAAACUACGAGUUUUGACGUGUUCCCCGUAACCGGACCUCGGGGUUCCCCGACCAUUUGGAUCGCAGCGGGACCCAAAAUCAGUGAGAAAUAGCUUACAAAACUGGCCAUAAUAGGCCAAAACUGCGAGCUUUGACGAGUUCCCCAUAACCGGUCUGUGGGGUUCCCCGAACGUUCGGAGUGCAGCAUGACCCAAAAUGAUUGAGUAAUAGCAUUGAAAAUUGGCGAGAAUAGGCCAAAACUACGAGUUUUGACGAGUACCCCGUAGCCGGACCCCGGGCUUCCACGAACGUUCAGAUCGCGACGGGACCCAAAGUCAGUGAGUAAUAGCGUAGAAAACUGGGCAGAAUAGGCCAACACUUCGAGUUUUGACGAGUUCCCCGUAACUGGACCCCGUGGCUCCCUGAACGUUUGGAUCACGGCGGGACCCAAAAUCAGUGAGUAAUAGCUUACAAAACUGGACAGAAUAGGCCAAAUCUGUGAGCUUUGACGAGUUCUGCAUAACUGGACCGCGGGGGUUCCCCAAAUGUUCUGAGUGCAUCAGUACCCAAAAUGAUUGAGUAAUAGCAUAGAAAAUUGGCAAUAAUAGGCCAAAACUGCGAGUUUUGACGAGUACCCCGUAGACGGACCCAGGGCUUCCUCGAACGUUCGGAUCGCAGUGGGAUCCAAAAUCAGUGAGUAAUAGCAUAGAAAACUAGCCGGAAUAGGUAAAAACUGCCAGUUUUGACGAGUUCCACAUAACCGGACCCUAGGGUUCCCCGAACGUUUGGAUCGCAACGGGACCCAAAAUUAGUGAGUAAUAGCUUACAAAACUGGCUAGAAUAGGCCAAAUCUGUGAGCUUUGACGAGUUCCCCAUAACCGGACCGCGGAGUUCCCCGAACGUUCGGAUUUCAGUGGGAACCAAAAUGAUUGAUUAAUAGAAUAGAAAAUUGGCCAGAAUGGGUCAAGACUUCGAAUUUUGAGGACUAGCCCGUAGCCUGACCUCGGGCUUCCCCGAACGUUCGGAUCGCAGCGGGACCCAAAAUCAGUGAGUAAAUGCAUAGAAAACUGGCCAAAAUAGGAACAAAACUUCGACUUUUGACUUGUUCCCAAUAACCGGACCUCGGGGUUCCCUAAACGUUUGGAUUACAACAAGACCCAAAAUGAGUGAGUAAUAGUAUAGAAAAUUUGCCAGAAUAAGCCAAAUCAGUGAAUUUUGACGUGUUCCCCGUUACUNNNNNNNNNNUCGAACAUUUGGAUGGCAGCGGGUCCCAAAAUCAAUGAGAAAUAGCUUACAAAACUGGCCAGAAUAGGCCAAAACUGCGAGCUUUGGCAAGUUCCCCAUAAUUAACUGGACCGUGGGAUUCCCCGAACGUUGUGAGUGCAUAAAGACCCAAAAUGAUCGAGUAAUAGCAUUGAAAAUUGGCGAGAAUAGGCCAAAACUACGAGUUUUGAUCAGUACCUCGUAGCCGGACCCCGCGCUUCCAUGAUCAUUUAGAUCGCAGCGGGACCCAAAAUAAGUGAGUAAUAGCAUAGAAAACUUGCCAGAAUAGGGCAACACUUUGAGUUUUGAUGAGUUUCACGUAACCGGACCCCGUGGUUCCCCAAACGUUUGGAUCGCAGCGGGACCCAAAAUGAGUGAGUAAUAGCUUACAAAACAGGACAGAAUAGGCCAAAUCUGUGAGCUUUGACGAGUUCCACAUAAAUGGACCGCGGGUUCCCCGAAUGUUCGGAGUGCAGCAGGACCCAAAAUGAUUGAGUAAUAGAAUAGGAAAUUGGCGAGAAUAGGCCAAAACUGCGAGUUUUGACGAGUACCCCGUNNNNNNNNNNNNNNNNNNNNNNNNNNNNNNNNNNNNNNNNNNNNNNNNNNNNNNNNNNNNNNNNNNNNNNNNNNNNNNNNNNNNNNNNNNNNNNNNNNNNAUUUGGGUUGCUCUUAUGACAAGUGUCAAUUUCUAACGGAGCAGCCAACCAGCUAGUGGUUGUGGGGGUGGCUAUUUAUAGCCUGGGAGCAUCCCGACAUGAUUUGACACUGAUGCCCUUAAAUAAUAUGACCGUUGGAGUGGAUAAGACCAGUGACUUGGUGUGGUUAUCGAAACGGUCGGAACCCUCAACUGUGAGAGUCCUCAUGUCACUCAUAUUCCUCACUUGAGGCUUUUUAUAGGAUUAGGCUUGGGUUGAGCAUCAUGAGGAAAUUCAUUCCAUAGUGUAACUUCGACCCCCUGUAACAGUACGGUGUUCCUAUUACUCAAAUGCGAAGAAAGUAAAACAGAAAGUGUAGAUCUUCAUGCUUCAAAUUCUUCAGAAUGAUUUUCUUCAGGAACCACCGGACUUCUCAAUAUCAGUAUCUUCAUGAGGAAUAUCAAUUUCAUCGCAGAUUCCUCGUGAUUCAUUUCUUCAGCUUCAGACCAAUUUCUUCAACUGAAGACAUAUAUUUUUAGGGGUCAGUAUUCUUCAAAUAUCUCAAACUCCUCAAUGACUUAUAGAUCCUGUGUACACUCACAAACACAUCAGAUACUUAACCUAUAAGUCUUCAAACCACCAAAAUCACUAAGGGGCACUAGAUGCACGUACACAAACGUUCGGGGAACCAUGGGGUCCGGUUACGGGGAACUCAUCAAAAGUCGAAGUGUUGGCUUAUUCUGGCCAGUUUUCUAUGCUAUUANNNNNNNNNNNNNNNNNNNNNNNNNNNNNNNNNNNNNNNNNNNNNNNNNNNNNNNNNNNNNNNNNNNNNNNNNNNNNNNNNNNNNNNNNNNNNNNNNNNNCUGCAGCACAUCGAAGCUGCUCGUUUCCCGUCAGCCCUGCAGCAUAUUGAAGCAGCUCGUUCCCCGUCAGCCCUGCAGCACAUCGAAGCUCCUUCUGGAUCCCGUUGUCCCUGCUCCAUCUGCAGACUUCGCCGAAUCCCGUUGCCCUCCCAGAUCCCGCCGCCCUCGUCUGCUCGAUCUGCAGAAGCUGCCGAAUCGCCUUUCGAGUUACAGUUGACGGAUUUCCUGACAAAGGCCCAGACUAGAACAUAACAUGACUUUUAUCUUUCCAAACUCAGUGUUGUUCAUCCACCAUGAGUUUGGGGGGGGNNNNNNNNNNNNNNNNNNNNNNNNNNNNNNNNNNNNNNNNNNNNNNNNNNNNNNNNNNNNNNNNNNNNNNNNNNNNNNNNNNNNNNNNNNNNNNNNNNNNNNNNNNNNNNNNNNNNNNNNNNNNNNNNNNNNNNNNNNNNNNNNNNNNNNNNNUGUAUUUAUCCCAAUAUCUAAGUGGUUUUCCUGCAUAUAGUCCACCACCUGUACAUGUAUAUAUACUGGCCUAUGACCUCAUGGCAAGUUGCUUAUUCCUAACACCUAAAACAGUUACAAAGACUUCUACCAAAUUUGCCAGGUUUUGAAUUUCAUUUAUUGAGCUGUCUUCUGAAAAUGCAUAUAUUUUGUUCAACAGUGAAGGUCACAAAAAUAUUUGCAAAUGAACAAAAGAUUAAACCAUCUGAAAAAAGAGUUGCAAUAUUUAAAUCUGACUGCUGGCGGCGGGCGGCCGGGGGGGGNNNNNNNNNNNNNNNNNNNNNNNNNNNNNNNNNNNNNNNNNNNNNNNNNNNNNNNNNNNNNNNNNNNNNNNNNNNNNNNNNNNNNNNNNNNNNNNNNNNNUAAUAGCAUUGAAAAUUGGCGAGAAUAGGCCAAAACUACGAGUUUUGACGAGUACCCCGUAGCCGGACCCCGGGCUUCCACGAACGUUCAGAUCGCGACGGGACCCAAAGUCAGUGAGUAAUAGCGUAGAAAACUGGGCAGAAUAGGCCAACACUUCGAGUUUUGACGAGUUCCCCGUAACUGGACCCCGUGGCUCCCUGAACGUUUGGAUCACGGCGGGACCCAAAAUCAGUGAGUAAUAGCUUACAAAACUGGACAGAAUAGGCCAAAUCUGUGAGCUUUGACGAGUUCUGCAUAACUGGACCGCGGGGGUUCCCCAAAUGUUCUGAGUGCAUCAGUACCCAAAAUGAUUGAGUAAUAGCAUAGAAAAUUGGCAAUAAUAGGCCAAAACUGCGAGUUUUGACGAGUACCCCGUAGACGGACCCAGGGCUUCCCCGAACGUUUGGAUCGCAGUGGGAUCCAAAAUCAGUGAGUAAUAGCAUAGAAAACUAGCCGGAAUAGGUAAAAACUGCGAGUUUUGACGAGUUCCACAUAACCGGACCCUAGGGUUCCCCGAACGUUUGGAUCGCAACGGGACCCAAAAUUAGUGAGUAAUAGCUUACAAAACUGGCUAGAAUAGGCCAAAUCUGUGAGCUUUGACGAGUUCCCCAUAACCGGACCGCGGAGUUCCCCGAACGUUCGGAUUUCAGUGGGAACCAAAAUGAUUGAUUAAUAGAAUAGAAAAUUGGCCAGAAUGGGUCAAGACUUCGAAUUUUGAGGACUAGCCCGUAGCCUGACCUCGGGCUUCCCCGAACGUUCGGAUCGCAGCGGGACCCAAAAUCAGUGAGUAAAUGCAUAGAAAACUGGCCAAAAUAGGAACAAAACUUCGACUUUUGACUUGUUCCCAAUAACCGGACCUCGGGGUUCCCUAAACGUUUGGAUUACAACAAGACCCAAAAUGAGUGAGUAAUAGUAUAGAAAAUUUGCCAGAAUAAGCCAAAUCAGUGAAUUUUGACGUGUUCCCCGUUACUGGGCCCCGGGGUUCCUCGAACAUUUGGAUGGCAGCGGGUCCCAAAAUCAAUGAGAAAUAGCUUACAAAACUGGCCAGAAUAGGCCAAAACUGCGAGCUUUGGCAAGUUCCCCAUAAUUAACUGGACCGUGGGAUUCCCCGAACGUUGUGAGUGCAUAAAGACCCAAAAUGAUCGAGUAAUAGCAUUGAAAAUUGGCGAGAAUAGGCCAAAACUACGAGUUUUGAUCAGUACCUCGUAGCCGGACCCCGCGCUUCCAUGAUCAUUUAGAUCGCAGCGGGACCCAAAAUAAGUGAGUAAUAGCAUAGAAAACUUGCCAGAAUAGGGCAACACUUUGAGUUUUGAUGAGUUUCACGUAACCGGACCCCGUGGUUCCCCAAACGUUUGGAUCGCAGCGGGACCCAAAAUGAGUGAGUAAUAGCUUACAAAACAGGACAGAAUAGGCCAAAUCUGUGAGCUUUGACGAGUUCCACAUAAAUGGACCGCGGGUUCCCCGAAUGUUCGGAGUGCAGCAGGACCCAAAAUGAUUGAGUAAUAGAAUAGGAAAUUGGCGAGAAUAGGCCAAAACUGCGAGUUUUGACGAGUACCCCGUAGCCGGACCACGGGCUUCCCCGAACGUUUGGAUCGCAGUGGGAUCCAAAAUCAGUGAGUAAUAGCACAGACAACUAGCCAGAAUAGGUAAAAACUACGAGUUUUGACGAGUUCUACAUAGCCGGACCCCGGGGUUCCCCGAACGUUUGGAUCGCAGCAGGACCCAAAAUCAGUGAGCAAUAGCUUACAAAACUGGCCAAAAUAGGCCACAUAUGUGAGCUUUGACGAGUUCCCCAUAACCAGACCGCGGGGUUCCCCGAACGUUCGGAUUUCAGUGGGAACCAAAAUGAUAUAGUAAUAGCAUAGAAAAUUGGCCAGAAUGGGCCAAAACUGCGAAAUUUGAGGGGUACCCCGUAGCUUGACCCCGGGCUUCCCCGAACGUUCGGAUUGCAUAGGGACCCAAAAUGAUUGAGUAAUAGCAUAUAAAAUUUGCCAGAAGAGGCCAAAACUGCGAGUUUUGAUGAGUACCCCGUAGUCGGACCUCGAGCUUCCCCGAACGUUCCGAUCACAGCGGGACCCAAAAUCAGUGAGUAAUAGCAUAAAAAACUAGCUAGAAUAUGCCAAAACUGUGAGUUUUGACAUGUUCCCCGUAACUGGACCCCGGGGUUACCCGAACAUUUGGAUCGCAUCGGGACCCAAAAUCAGUGAGAAAUAGCUUACAAAACUAACCAGAAUAACCAAAACUGCGAGCAUUGACGAGUUCCCCAUAACUGGACCGUGGGGCCCCGAACGUUCGGAGUGCAGCAGGACCAAAAAAUAUUGAGUAAUAGCAUUGAAAGUUGGCGAGAAUAGGCCAACACUACAAGUUUUGACGAGUACCCCAUAGCCGGACCCCCGGGCUUCCACGAACGUUCGGAUCACAGCGGGACCCAAAAUUAGUGAGUAAUAGCAUAGAACACUAGACAGAAUAGGCCAACACUUCGAGUUUUGAUGAGUUCCCCGUAACCAGACCCCAUGGUUCCCCGAAUGUUUGGAUCGCGGCGUGACCCAAAAUCAGUGAGUAAUAGCUUACAAAACUGGACAGAAUAGGCCAAAUCUGUGAGCUUUGACGAGUUCCACAUAACUGGACCGCGGGGUUCCCCGAAUGUUCGGAAUGCAGCAGGACCCAAAAUGAUUGAGUAAUAGCAUAGAAAAUUGGCGAGAAUAGGUCAAAUCUACGAGUUUUGACGAGUACCCCGAAGCCGGACCCCGGGCUUCCCCAACGUUCGGAUCGCAGUGGGAUCCGAAAUCAGUGAGUAAUAGCAUAGAAAACUAGCCAGAAUAGGUCAAAACUGCGAGUUCAGACGAUUUCCACAUAACCGGACCGCAGGGUUCCCCGAACGUUUGGAUCGCAGCGGGACCCAAAAUCAGUGAGUAAUAGCAUACAAAACUGGCCAGAAUAGGCCAAAUCUGUGAGUUUUGACGAGUUCCCCAUAAUCGGGACCACGGGGUUCCCGAACGUUCGGAUUGCAUAGGGACCCAAAUUGAUCGAGUAAUAGCAUAUAAAAUUUGCCAGAAUAGGCCAAAACUGCGAGUUUUGAUGUGUACCCCGUUGUCGGACCCCGAGCUUCCCCGAACGUUCGGAUCUCAGCGGGACCCAAAAUCAGUGAGUAUUGCAUAGAAAACUGGCCAGAAUAUACCAAAACUGCGAGUUUUGACGUGUUCCCGUAAUCGGACCUCGGGGUUCCCUGAACAUUGGGAUCUCAGCGGGACCCAAAAUCAGUGAGAAACAGCUUACAAAACUGGCCAGAAUAGGCCAAAACUGCGAGCUUUGACGAGUUCCCCAUAACCGGUCCGUGGGGUUCCACGAACGUUCGGAGUGCAGCAGGAUCCAAAAUGAUUGAGUAAUAGCAUUGAAAAUUGGCGAGAAUAGGCCAAAACUACGAGUUUUGACGAGUACCCUGUAGCCGGACCCCGGGCUUCCACGAACGUUCGGAUCGCGACGGGACCCAAAAUCAGUGAGUAAUAGCAUAGAAAAUUGGCCAGAAUAGGCCAACACUUCGAGUUUUGACGAUUUCCCCGUAACUGUACCCCGUGGCUCCCUGAACGUUUGGAUCGUGGCGGGACCCAAAAUCAGUUAGUAAUAGCUUACAAAACUGGACAAAAUAGGCCAAAUCUGUGAGCUUUGACGAGUUCUGCAUAACUAGACCGCGGGGUUCCCCAAAUGUUCUUAGUGCAUCAGGACCCAAAAUGAUUGAGUAAUAGCAUAGAAAAUUGGCGAGAAUAGGCCAAAACUGCGAGUUUUGACGAGUACCCCGUAGACGGACCCAGGGCUUCCUCGAACGUUCGGAUCGCAGUGGGAUCCAAAAUCAGUGAGUAAUAGCAUAGAAAACUAGCCAGAAUAGGUAAAAACUGCGAGUUUUGACGAGUUCCACAUAACCGGAACCCGGGGUUCCCCGAACGUUUGGAUUGCAACGGGACCCAAAAUUAGUGAGUAAUAGCUUACAAAACUGGCUAGAAUAGGCCAAAUCUGUGAGCUUUCACGAGUUCCCCAUAACCGGACCGCGGGGUUCCCCGAACAUUCGGAUUUGAGUGGGAACCAAAAUGAUUGAGUAAUAGCAUAGAAAAUUGGCCAGAAUGUGCCAAGACUUCAAAUUUUGAGGACUACCCCAUAGCCUGACCCCAGGCUUCCCCGAACGUUCGGAUCGCAACGGGACCCAAAAUCAGUGAGUAAAUGCAUAGAAAACUGGCCAGGAUAGGAAGAAAACUACGCCUUUCUACUUGUUCCCAAUAAUCAGACCUCGGGGUUCCCCGAACGUUUGGAUUACAACAAGACCCAAAAUGAGUUAGUAAUAGUAUAGAAAACUUGCCAGAAUAAGCCAAAUCAGUGAAUUUUGACGUGUUCCCCGUUACUGGGCCCCGGGGUUCCCCGAACAUUUGGAUCGCAACAGGACCCAAAAUCAGUGAAAAAUAGCUUACAAAACUGGCCAGAAUAGGCCAAAACUGCGAGCUUUGGCAAGUUCCCCAUAACCGGACUGUGGGGUUCCCCGAACAUUGUGAGUGCAUAAAGACCCAAAAUGAUUGAGUAAUAGCAUUGAAAAUUGGCGAGAAUAGGCCAAAACUAUGAGUUUUGAUGAGUACCCCAUAGCCGGACCCCGGGCUUCCACGAACGUUUAGAUUGCAGCAGGACCCAAAAUAAGUGAGUAAUAGCAUAGAAAACUUGCCAGAAUAGGGCAACACUUCAAGUUUUGAUGAGUUUCCCCGUAACCGGACCCCGUGGUUCCCCAAACUUUUAGAUCGUAGCGGGACCCAAAAUGACUGAGUAAUAGCUUACAAAACAGGACAGAAUAGGCCAAAUCUGUGAGCUUUGACGAGUUCCACAUAAAUGGACCGCGGGUUCCCCGAAUGUUCGGAGUGCAGCAGGACCCAAAAUGAUUGAGUAAUAGAAUAGGAAAUUGGCNNNNNNNNNNNNNNNNNNNNNNNNNNNNNNNNNNNNNNNNNNNNNNNNNNNNNNNNNNNNNNNNNNNNNNNNNNNNNNNNNNNNNNNNNNNNNNNNNNNNAAGAAGUCAUCAGCGUUGACAUCCAUCGGGUUCUUGCAAACAAACCCAUUGACACGCACUGGUGCAUAGAGGAGAUGUAGGGUGUAAGCUUAGGUAUUACUAGGAAGUGAUUUUAACAUACAGGUAAUUUUCAGAAAUUCAUUUCUUGGUGAUAGUACGACGGGAAAGCGGGAAGUAAGCAGUACCUGGUGAAUGCAUGUCGGCAACACAAAAGUCCUGGAGCGGGCCAGGGUCGGAGGCAACAGCCUGCCAUGAGAUCAAGGCGAAAAGAGCAACGAGGAGAAGGAAGGUAGGGGAGGAUGCCAUUUUUUCAGCUCCUUUGGGUCUUGUUUUCUCCUAUAUUCCUGAGAUGUUUGUUGGGUGAGUGAUGGUUGGAACAUGCUGGGGAUGUAUGUUUUUAUAUAGGCAUGGCGAGCAGGUGGAACUCAUGAGUAAUGGACAUAGUCAAGUGGAACCGCCCAACGGAUAGAAAUGGUCUUUGGCUGCCGACUAGAUUAGUCUGCAUAAACUUUUGAGAUGUGGUCAGCCAUAUUCAAAUCUUUGAUACACGUUUUUCCCUUUAAUAAAUAGAGAAGCAAAUUAAGGUACUCCAUGUGAUGUAGACCUCUUAGUAACAAUUUCUAUGAGCAAUAGUUUUGAUUGUGUCAAACAAGGAAGAAAUCAUGGCGCGUCGAUCCAUGCAUUAACGCACCUAAUACGUAUCAUAUGAUUACGUCAACCAGAUAUACAGUUGCCUGGUCAAAUUUCUCUCCAAAUGGUUGAGUACUUGAAGGAAGAAGCAACGACAUUAAUUAAUGGACGAUGGAGAGCAAGAGCAGUUAAAAUUUUCUUGCCAAAGAAUUUUCGUCAUGACCAAUUCAGUUCAUAAAUCUAACAAUCUAGUCCUGACUAAGGUUCAUGACUAGUUUUUGCCAUGGAUGUUCAGGUCCAUGCAUCUUACAACAACAAGCAUGGCUGAUUUACACUCCAACAAGGAAGAGCGGGAAGCUACCUACCGCGAGGAGGAGGAGNNNNNNNNNNNNNNNNNNNNNNNNNNNNNNNNNNNNNNNNNNNNNNNNNNNNNNNNNNNNNNNNNNNNNNNNNNNNNNNNNNNNNNNNNNNNNNNNNNNNNNNNNNNNNNNNNNNNNNNNNNNNNNNNNNNNNNNNNNNNNNNNNNNNNNNNNNNNNNNNNNNNNNNNNNNNNNNNNNNNNNNNNNNNNNNNNNNNNNNNNNNNNNNNNNNNNNNNNNNNNNNNNNNNNNNNNNNNNNNNNNNNNNNNNNNNNNNNNNNNNNNNNNNNNNNNNNNNNNNNNNNNNNNNNNNNNNNNNNNNNNNNNNNNNNNNNNNNNNNNNNNNNNNNNNNNNNNNNNNNNNNNNNNNNNNNNNNNNNNNNNNNNNNNNNNNNNNNNNNNNNNNNNNNNNNNNNNNNNNNNNNNNNNNNNNNNNNNNNNNNNNNNNNNNNNNNNNNNNNNNNNNNNNNNNNNNNNNNNNNNNNNNNNNNNNNNNNNNNNNNNNNNNNNNNNNNNNNNNNNNNNNNNNNNNNNNNNNNNNNNNNNNNNNNNNNNNNNNNNNNNNNNNNNNNNNNNNNNNNNNNNNNNNNNNNNNNNNNNNNNNNNNNNNNNNNNNNNNNNNNNNNNNNNNNNNNNNNNNNNNNNNNNNNNNNNNNNNNNNNNNNNNNNNNNNNNNNNNNNNNNNNNNNNNNNNNNNNNNNNNNNNNNNNNNNNNNNNNNNNNNNNNNNNNNNNNNNNNNNNNNNNNNNNNNNNNNNNNNNNNNNNNNNNNNNNNNNNNNNNNNNNNNNNNNNNNNNNNNNNNNNNNNNNNNNNNNNNNNNNNNNNNNNNNNNNNNNNNNNNNNNNNNNNNNNNNNNNNNNNNNNNNNNNNNNNNNNNNNNNNNNNNNNNNNNNNNNNNNNNNNNNNNNNNNNNNNNNNNNNNNNNNNNNNNNNNNNNNNNNNNNNNNNNNNNNNNNNNNACGCACACGUCCACCGCCUCCUGGAUGAUGUCCACCGGGAUGCCCUCCUAACUGCCCAGCACCACCAUCGUCUUCUCCGGGAACGAGAACUCGUCCAGGGCUGGGCAGUUUCAAGCCAACACGACAAGAUAGCUCAAGUUCAAGUGCUUACAUUCAGAAAGUUAUUUACUCGCUCCAAAACCGACAUUGGAACACAUUCAAAGCUAGACGACUGCAUAAAAACAAGGCAUAUUCUUUAUUUUUUGCGAGAAAAAUAAGGCAUAUUCAGAAUUACAACAGAAAGGCAUAAAGGUUCAGUGCCCCAUAAAAAACAUAACUACCGCCCUAGAGUCGUCCGUCUUAUUCAUUUCUUCACAAAAUAAACAGUGUCCUCAAAUUUCUAGGAGACAGAGAAUACAACGAAUCUCAGUGCAAGUUGUAAAUAUUCCCGUUGGAGUCCCAGAUGUAUUGGGAUAAAAAACAUCAAGAAAACCUUCAAUUGAAACUCUGAGCCUGUAAUCAAAACAUAUACGGAGGAUACAAACACUCAAGAUGGAAAUAUUUAUAAUUAACACCUUUCUAGAUUAAGAGAAGGACAUCAAGUAAGGUAUAUCUGUUUCUUUUAGAGAAAACUAAGGUAUAUAUAAGUGUAUAACUUGACACUAUUAGUUACGGAAGAAAUCUAUGAGUAAACUCGUGAUGGUACACAGAGAGAAGUUUUAUCACUGAGAGAAGUAUAGCCCAAGUAUGUGGGCUAUACUCCAGGAACUACCGUAAACUACUUAUUACAUGCCCUGGAAAGGCAGACCACAACAACGACUCAAGGAAGCAACGUUUGCACAUUCAACUUGCACGUUGAAACCUCUGAGCACAUUACUAAAUAAUCAUCUAUUGGCUUCUGAAUAGUAUUUUGCAUAAACUUUUCAAGUUUGCUUUUUAAUAUGCUUAAGCGCUAAUGCAUCAUCCGAUGUAUGGCUGAGUAGUAAUUACAAUUAUUUAUCCAUCUCAACCAAGUCAGCACAAUGCAUGGAGCGCUGGUUUCAUGAAAAGUCGCCACCCAUCAUCAUAGUUUAUUAGAUAUCAUAUACGUAUACUUGGUCAUGGUGAGAACUGAUGCACACGAGGUCAAAGAGGAGUUGAGAGAUGUAAGUUAUGUAAAGCAAUCGUUUUCUACACAGACAAAGUCGUCUGCUUAGCUUGAUCUACUCUCCUGUAAGAUUAUCUCGUGUGUUUGCGUGCUAUACUUUGGUGUAGUCCCGAUUGAGAUUUAUCUAGCCGGACGGCAGAAUACAUCAGUUCCAUAGCUAGCUAGCCCAACAAUCGAUCCACCAGCCAGCUUGCUUGCUUUUAGCUCGUAGCGUGCAGGUUUUGUUCUAGUUUCGGUUAUAGUCGUGUUGGCGUACGACGGCGAUCUGAUCUACGGCAAGCGGCUAGUUCUAACACUCUCCAUUCUUUUAAGUUGCUACAGAAUGUGUGCAAUCAACACUCUCCAUUUACGGUGGUGUGUUCGGAAUGGUAUGGCGAUCCAAUCGACCCUGCCUUAAAUCAAAUGACUCACGGUAUUGCAUGCAUAUAUCUUGUAGUACAUGCAACAAUGUCCUCCUUUCAUCAUGUCUGCUGGUAUGGUCAAGACACUACUUGGUUUAAGCAGCGGGUCGUCUCCGACAUGCAACUGUAGUUCAAAGGUGACAGUACGACGAAGUCAAGUGUUUUCUUCCAGGUGGCUCGUGGAUGAAUGUCGUCGUCGGUCCUGGUUGAGUCUUAAGGUGGUCCAGCUUCUCAUCUGCUCCCUUCCGCCAGCAUGCUGGAGGUGUGUCAUUAGGCACUUCCGGUAAUAAGUUUAUUUUCUACAUUUAUGCAUAUUUUUUAUAUGUAUGUUGGAGCUAAUGUUUAAAAUCUCGACUCCGUUGUGCCCAGUUUCCAAAACUUAUUAAAAAAAACGUGUUUUUAGUUCCCAACUUAAGAAAAUCAAAAAUACUACUCAUAAGAAUUUAGAUAAAAUGAGCCACCUCAUCGAUUUCCAUCAAAGCAGCCGUCAAUCAAACUUACAAGAGCUUUGAACCAAAAGGAAGCUAAAAAUAUUACAUGGAGGAACUGUAUAUUUCUAAUUUCAUGCACCAGAAAGCGAGAGACCAGAACAACAAGUCCAGGAAGCAACUUUUGCACAUUCCACAUUCACAUUUAAAUCCUGAGCACAAUCGGGCUCCACCCAUCGCAUACUUCACAUGUAUUGCCAGAUAAUAAUACGUGUUCAACACCAGCGUCAAACAAAUACUGCAUUACCAAAUAAUCUUGUAUUGUUUCUUUUUUUUAACCUAAUCAUAUAUUAUUUCAGAAUAAGGGGAAAAGAACCCAAAAUAUUGAUCAAUUAUGAGAAAUACGACACAGUAGAACCAAAAAAAAGCAUGUGAGAUCAUAUCAGUGUGAUAAAAAACGAUAUUUUUGAUUAUUUAAAAGGUAGAAAUACAUUCACUGAUUACAGGCACACAAUUACAUAUGCUCCUUUUAUUUUAUAAAUUAGGAUGCAUAUCUAGGAACUCAACCAUGCCCUUAAUUUACGCACGUGUGUAAUCACCCAAUGUGUGACUUAAUUGUGGUUGUUCUCCCAGAACUGAGCCUGGAGCCAGUCUAUAGUAUUCUUUUCCACCUGAAACGCCUUGGCAAGAACAUCAUCUGAUAUUGCUGGGUCUGACCCAAACACUGCAUUGGCAAUUGUGAUAGCCCCUGGGUUCUGGCUGCUGAGCGCGGCAAUUGCAAUAGCGGGCUGGUGGGGGUUGGGGUUGAACUGAAAGUGAAUGAGCCCCACGGGGAAGACAAAUACAUCACCUUUGUUGAGCACCUUCGAGAGGAACUUGUUUCUGUUGGGUGCAGGCAGGUUGGAUGUGACAAAUCCGACAUACAGUGUCCCCUCGAGUACCGUGAGGAUCUCAGUGGCGCGAGGGUGCGUAUGUGGCGGGUUCUGACCCAAGGGAGCAUAGUCGAUGCGCGCAAUUGAGAUGCCGAGGGUGUUGAGUCCAGCAAUCU
rnacentral:lncRNA from 1 species